rnacentral:lncRNA from 1 species
UUGUUCUUUUUCAACUUCAUGUUUAAAAAUGGUGAACACAUAUUUGUGGGUAAAUGUUGAUUUCCUUUGCCGAAGAAUCUCCAAUUUUAUUGUUCUAUGCAAGAUGUACAUGUAACGUAAUAAAGUUGUAACUAGGGCUGUGCAUCGAAAUCGAAAUCGGUAAAUCGGAAGUUUGAAAUUGGAAUUUUUUGAAAUUUUGACAUGAAUUUUUCCGACCGAAUUCGAUUUCGAAAUGGCCAAUUCCGAUUUCGAAUUCGAUACCCGAAUUUCGAAUUCACCGAAUUCAAACCUACUCUACUCUUAGUCUACUGCACUUCCUCCCUUCUCGGUCUAUUGCUAUUCUACUUCACUCUCACCGACCACUGCAAACUCCUGCCAGUCUAAGUCUACUCCGUUUUCUCCAACUUUCUCUACGCUACUUGUGAUUUAGUAAGUAGUACAAACUGCAAAGAGAAACGACCAAUGGAAGGAGGGUUGGAGCUGAGUAAAGUGACGCUGGAAAUCUUCUCCAAGCUCGAGCAACAGUGGUUGCAUCACUGCCAACCCCCAAGAAGACUCACAUUCUCAGUAUCGACGGCGGCAGAGUCGGCUCCCCCUCUGCCAUCUUCGCCGCUCAUUCCUUGAUCCUUCUCGAAGACCAGAUCCAUGCCAAAUCCGCUGAUUCCCAAUCUCGCAUUGCCGAUUUCCUCAAUCUUAUCACCGACACUGGCAUUGGAGCUCUUUACGCUGCAAUGCUUGCCGCCGACGACGGUUAUGGACGUCCUUUGUUCACCGCCAGGGAUGCCGUCAACUUCAUCGCCCAAAACUAGUCCCGGCUCUUUAAAGUCAAGGGCACCCUCACCCUUUCAAGCUUGCUUUUGGUUACCGAUCCGAUCGCAAGUAAAUGAGAUACUCUAAAUAUACCAACCCUGUCCUCUGUUCUGGGUGUAGUCUAUCGCCCUUUCGGCCCACUGAGUAGGCCUUUUUCUUUCAAUACGACGGCCUCAGCUUAUUCUUUUAGACUCGUCCCACGAAGCGGUUUGGAACUCGUUUCGUAUGCGGUAUCACCUCUUUAGUUGAUUGUCCCGGCGAACCUGAGUAUGCCUCCUUUCCGCCAGCCUAGGCUUCGGAAUUCUCGCCGACAAAGGUUCUCUGGCAGGAGCAUGGAUGUGGCGUGAAGAUGGAGGUGAAACUGAGAGUGAGAGAGAGUAAGUUGAGGAAGUAGGAAAUCACAGUGAGUCGGAGACGGAGGAAGGAAGGUGAGACAGUGAGUCAGGCGUGGAGGCGGUGGAGGGGAGGAGAGGAGAAGGAAGGUGAGAGAUAGUCUUGAGAGACGAUGAGGAAGAGGUGGCGAAGAGUAACAAGAGUUAACAGAUUAGGUUUUUGCAAUUUCAAUUGUUAGAUGUAUCAGUAUUAUUGUUAUUAACUUAUUAUGUUAUAUAAUAUAUAUUAUAUAUGUAUUGUUAAAAAAAUUAUAUAUAAAUAUUAUUAUUCGAAAUUAAAAUAACAGUUCCGAUUUCGAAUUCCCCAAUUCGAAAUCCGUAAUUACGAUUUCAAAAAUUAUAUUUUCGAAUUCGAUCCGAUUUCGACCAAUUCGAAAUUGGAAUUAUCGAAUUCCAUUCCGAAUUACUGAAAUUCCGAAUUCGAAGUUUCGAAUUCAAUUCGAAAUCGGUCGGUAAAUCGAAAUUUUUCGAAUUUGCACACUCCUAGUUGUAACUAGUUGACUAAUCUAACUAAAGCAUCCCAUAUAACAAAAGUAGUGUGUCUAACUAACUAAUUAGUCCACAACUGGUUAGAAAGUUAUUUGUAUAAAGUACUGCUACUUUCAAGGUCAAGAAUUAAGGCCCUAUUUAAAAGGUGAGUUUUUUGGGUGUUUGUCUAAAAUUUUACUGUAGUUUACUGUAGAAGUUUUUUAAAAAAAUUUUGAAGUGUGUUUUUUUUUGAAUAUUUUGAAGUGUAUUAUUUAAAAACUUUGAAAAUUUUUUUGAGAUUACUGUAGGUAAAGUUUUAAAAAAGUUGUAGCAGACAAACUUGGCAAAAAACUUGGCUUAAGUUUGGAUUGCAUUUUUCUAGAUCUUUUGUAGAAAAAAUACUAUAACAAUUUAAUAUAUGUGAGGUAAAAAGGUGAUUGGGAAACGUGUUCACCGAAAACGUAGCAAUUUUUCUUUAGAAAAUGACUGUCCAAACAAGGCCUGCACUUGACAAAAUUGUUUUCCCCACCCACAUUUAUAGUUCCUACUAUUUAUGUAACUUAAGUUAUAAUGUUUAAGUUGAUUGAACUGCUAUAAUCUUAUAACAAAGAGUAUAUUUGGUACACGUAUUAUUUCUAUCUUAUUUACACACACUGAUUUAUUUGUAUUAUCAACAAUUUUUUAAUCACCUUAUUUAUCUCACAUACAUCACAUCAAAAAAGUGCUACAGUAUUUUUUCACAAAAUUAUCUCAAAUAAUUUACUAUCCAAACACACUUAAAAUUACAUGACAAAGUUUAAGUAUUCAAUUUGAUAUAUAGCUUCCCAAUUGGGUUGUUUGUGUCAAUUGAGAAAUAUUGAAAAUCCUAUCAUGGGGCAAAGUGAGAAACAUGUUUUGUCGAGGGGCAUGUUAGUACCUCCAAAAAGAAACUACGCCGUCCCGUUAUCUUUGCUUCUUUUUGUCUGUUUUCUUCUCCUCCCCAUCUGUAAAACCCUUCACCGGUUCACCCUGCUCCAAGUGCUCUCUCCUUGGCCCUCUCUGAUUUUCUCGAAGUGGGUUCUUCAGUCCAGAAGGUAACAACUAAAGGCUCGCUCUUUUUCUCUUCCUUCCCUUCGAUUUUUAGCUUUGCAGCAUUGAAUAUUGAAUUCUGAAUUUCUUUUGACUGGCAAAAUCUUUGUAUCUGUAGGGUUUUAUUCUUAUUACGUGUUUGAGCUUAUAUUCACAUGCUUACAUAUUUCAACAGCCAUUUGGUAUAAUCUCAUUGUCUUGUAUAUCCUGUUUUUCUCCGUAUUUAAUUCCGGAUAACAUGGGCUAGUAAUUUUAUAAUGUUGAUUACCAAAAAGAGGAUCUUCCAAUGAGGUUUUUUUUUUCUCCUUUUUCUUUUUUGAUAGUGCUCUCGUUGAGACUCAGCAUCAUAUCAUUUUUCCUUGGUCAAAGAAUUAUUCAUUUUUAUUGCCCUGAUUCCCUUUAUCUUAAGCUUAUGCAAUCACUUAGUUAUGGAAUUUUUCUGGAACAUUGAUAAGCUUAUAGUUUAUCUAGAGUAAUAACAGGCUUUUAUGCAUAUUUGAUGCUCCUAUGUAUGGCUUUUGCUCUUUCCAUUUCCCUGCUUGAAGAUAAGAAGUGAGAUUGCCUGAAUGUAAGCUGCUGCAAUGAUUGAAAAUGGUGUACUAUUUGUGGAAGUGGUUAUUAUGCUAUAAAAUUUUCAAAACAAUUUAUAUCAUUUUGUAAUGAAAGGGUUUUGUGGAGGGUAAGAAAUACAUGGCAUUUGAAGGAAAGGGAGAUAGAAUUUGACUAAUAAAGAUCAAUGUUUGAAAAUUAUGUUCUGUACUUUCUUAUCAGAAUCAUUGAGCUGUUGCGUUUCCUUUAUUGAAAAAGCAGAACAAAAGAAUUCUUGGUCAGGGUGCGUCUCUUUGGUGACACGCUAAUUGAAUUUUGUGGAGAAAAGUCAUGUAGUUUGCCAUAUUUUAAAUAAAAAUAAGACCUUUCUUGAUGGAUUUACCUUUUCUUCCCCUCUUUCUCCUAUUUUUCGCUAUAAAGGUUUUAUGAUAGCAUGAAGUGUAGCGGUUGAGCAAUUAUCUAGAAAUGGUGGAUUGGUGGUGGUCUAUAGUUGCGGCUGCAAUACCAGCUGUGGUUGCAGGGCAGGCUUUCAGGAUGAAGAACAGGCGAGCGGACGAGCAGAGGUUAAAGAGUGCUCGGGGUCGCGAAAAGAGCUCAGAUGAAAUAUUUGUUUGUGAGAGGGUGUGUACUUCGAAGAGGAUGCUGAAGAAGGUUGGCGCAUUUUCUAAAGACCCAACUCCUGAUACUUGUGUGACUGUUUGCGGUGUUUCUGAGCUAGAUGCUUGCGCUGAUGCUUGUGCCCGGACUGUCUGUGUUAAUCAACAUCAAGUGCCUAAUUGGAAUGACAUUUGUCUUAAGAGGUGUCAAAGUGAGUGCCUUAGGCUCUCAAAUUCUUCUGCUAUGUCUUCAUAGCAUUGCUAUUGUUUUUAAAAUGGCCUCAGGAUUCUACUGCACCUGACGUUCUGUUUGAGAUGCGUAUCCCUUUUCAAAUUCAAGAUUUAUGCUUCUCAUAUUGAUGGUGCUUUCUUAUCUCGGUUUUAUCUUCUGGUUGACAACUUCAUGUUUUUUUUAUAUCAAGUAUUUUCUUUUUAUAUCCAUCCCGUCAUACUCCACUAAACUUGAAGUCGGGGGGAUUUUAUCUACCCCAGACGCAGAAUAACCUCAGCACAUGGAAGAUUAGGGAUGUAGCAUCCAUCAUCUCUGAUGAGGGAUGAUCAUGAUUGGCUCCAUAUUCAUACUGCCUUGACGCAUGGUUAAUGGGGUUUAUUCUGUCGCUGAUGGUUAUAAUCCAAAUGGUAGUAUGAGAAAUUCCGAUUCUCCUCUGUUAAACGCUCACCCAUGUUUGAGACUCUAGAUCUUUUAUUUCAAAUGAUGGCAAUGGGAGAUUGCUGAUUCUGUUUUGCUUGGUAAUAUUCUGAGUUUAUAUUCUCUGAUUCUCCUCUGCUAAGCUAAAUUGAAGAUUAAGCAUGAUGGAAGACGUAAGUUUAUUAAAUCCCUUGCAACACAAAGCAAUUUCCUCCAACAUGUACAUCUAUCUCUUAAGAUGGGCACACUGCCCUGGUUAGUGUUCUCUGAGCUUAAAGCUAAGAGAGAAUCUGGAAGUGUUACACAGCUAUAGAUUUAGUAGCCAUGCAGUCUCAAUUCCCUGCUCGUCUACGUACAUAGCCUUAAAAUUCAACUCUCAAACACUCGAGUCAAUAUGAAUCAACUGCAAGCUAAAUCCUUGCCAUAUUGACUUUAAUUUAGACAUGAAUUCGCAAGCACAUUCACAGCUACUACUACAUACCAAGAACAAUCAUCGGUCAUUGACAAAUUUUUGCCUGCAAAGAGCGAGAUUGUACAUAGGCUUCCCUACAUGGAGCCAGUUCCAGAGCAACAAAAUAUACAAACAUUUUAACAUUUCUACAAACAUAGGGCAUCAGAUGAACAACUAAACUGAGUACCAAAUACACUUCCGACAACCUAAACAUCAGCCACCUUAUGCGAAGGAAUCCAAUCAAAACGUGUCCAAAAUUUUCAGCACAUCACAACUUAGAAGCUGAUACUACUGUUACCAAACUCAGUCCCCCUCCCUUCCAUCCAACCAAUCUAUUCCAAUUCCAACUUAUAAGCAGGUUCUUCUUGAACCCAUCCACCUAGUCAGAUUCUUCUAACUCAUCAGCAGGAAAACACAUUCCCCGUGUAAUCCAUCGGAGCCGAAUUCCACCAUUCACCUCCAUCACCAGUUCGCCGCCUCAUUCCACCGCCAACCAAGUUCACUGCUCAUACAUUGAUCACAUUCUUCCUAGGCCUACCUCUCUUUUUAGCACUCGGAUUUGACACUCUUGCCACCUUCGCAGUCUUCUGCUCCUUCCUCCCACUCUCCAUCCCCACCCCAGCAUUACCACCAACAUUUCUAUUAUUGUUUUCCUCAUUACCCGGAAACAUCGGAGGCAUCCAAUUCGGAAACCCAGAAGCAUCAACACCCUUCCCACCAUCCAAAUCCCCACUCGCAAAACCCAUCGGAAAAAAACCCCAACAACAGUAAUACGCCUCUUUCCCCGGCACCGCGGCGGCAUUGCCGAAAUCUCCAUCCCAGUGAACGCCCUCUCGCAAUUCUCACACCUCAAACAACACCCCUCGUAAAGCCUGGGAUACUCGUAAAGAUUAUAACAGUACGGACACACCGUCCAAAACGUCGUUGUAGCCCCCCUUUGUCCCCUCAUGGCCCCACCACCACCACUUCCGCUAUUGCUCAAAUUACUCCUCCGGCCCGAAGCCCGGGCAGUGUGGGUGUAGAGCUAUUGACAUUGCUAGCAUUGUUACCAGCACCACUAGCAUUAUUAGCGGUAUUAUUUCCCUAGAGCUUCGCCGGACGGGCAAUUUCUGAUUGGAGAGAUCAUUCUUGUGUUGGCGCUGCUGCUGCCGCUGUUGUAAAUCUUUCUGCCUCUUCAUAGCAGCUAGAUCUAUCUUGGUAAAAAACGACAGCUCCUUAUCGUAGGCGGAUUUCUGGACGGGAUCGGACAGAACGUUCCAUGCAUCGGCAACGAGGCGGAAAGCGGAUUCGGCGAAUUCGAACUUGUUCUUGUCCGGGUGGAGAAGAAGAGCGAAACGACGGUACUGUUUCCUAACGAGGUCGGAGUCAUCGGUGCGGUUGGGGAGUUGGAGAAUCGAGUACCAGUCGUUGUGUUGGCCGAUACGCUUUUCGGAAGCUAGCAAGACUUGGGCUACGGCUAAGAUCUGCUCGGAGCCGUCGACUAAGGGCUCGGUUUCUUGAGCUAAGACGGCGAACUCUUUGCAGCCGGCAAAGUCGCGGUUGCGGAGAAGUUUCUCGGCGAUUCCUAGUAAGCGUUCGGCUUCAGCUCGGGUGGUGGUGGUGUGAUGUUCCAUUUUUUCUUGGGGAAAUUUUUUUCUUUUUUUCUGAGGUUGGAUUGCUUUAAAUUUUUUCGGAUUGUUUUGAGGUUUUUUUUCCCUCUGUCUCCUCGAGGACAGUCCGGAAAUGGAGCUUGGGAAGUUGGGACGGUUUCAGUGGGUGGGUUACAGUUACUGACUGGCUUUCACGGGUUUGGGCUGCAGUUGGCGGGUACAACUUACUAAUGCACAAAGUAUAACAAGUGUGUGUGGAUUGGAAAUUAUUUAAAAUAUUAUUGAAAAUAAUUACCGUAAGAAAUUUUGUGAUAUUAUGUAAUAUAUGAGAUAAAACAAAACUUGAUUGAAAAUUAUAAUUAUGAUGUAAAUAAAAUAAUAGUUGAGAUAUUUUUGUUGAGACGUGGCACACUUCUAUGAAUUAGAGGAAAAUGCACACCCUAUACGUGUGCAAAUUAAAAGAAAAAUUUAUUAAAAAAAAAGAACAGUUAUUAGAAUAAUUUUUUUUUUGUUGUUAGAUUAAAAAAAAAAGAAAUUUUUGGCAAUUAUUGCAUGUUUGUACUAUUUAACUUUUUAAUGAGAGAGUAAAUAAGGAAAAACUAAAAAAUGACAAAAAAAAAAGGUCCAUAUCAUACCCAUUUCUCUCCCUUCAUACAUAGUAAGAUGAGAUAUUUUAAGCACAAAAAUUACAAAGUCGGCAAUUAUUUAUUCGAUGGGUUCUAACUUUUAUGUGUUGUGUUAGGAAUCAAAUGCAUAUCAGGUGAAAAUUGAUAUUUAACCAUCCCAAAGGAUCAGCAUCAUCAUUUGGCCCUUGUGUCCCAAAUAAUGAGUUAGAGAGUACAAGUUUGUUCCAAGACAAUGUAUUUGGAUAAAGGACUACUUGGGAAAAAAUUUUAGACUAGUACUUUAGCAAUUUCUAGUUUUUAUUAUAUGGUAUUUGUGUGAUAAAAUGGUACUUAAAAAUAGGCAAUGAUUUUGGCACUCUUAAAAAACCUGUUAGCACUCCUUCCAUGCUAAAUUACAAUUUAAUAUAUGAAAAAGACUACCAAUACUUAUUUUUUAUUUUUAUUUUUUUGUGGCACAAAUAUUUGGAAGUAAUUGUAUGUUUCUUUUUACGUUUCUUUCUAAUUUGUAGUCGACUAAAGAUUUGAAUAUUUUAUAUGUAUCGCAAGAUAGAUUUUUGUCGGAUUCGGUGAUGAUUAUUUACAAGAGUGAUAGUUUAUCCUUUAAAUAUGAGGUUAUCUUUGUGAUAGUCGGAUGCAUCUGAAACUAAAUUAAAUUUUUUAGAUAGUGAUUGGUACACUUUGAGAGAAAAAAUGAUUUUUUGAUGUUUGUCCAAGCCACACAAGUGUCUGUUCAAUUAUGGCUCCAAAGUCAAAAAUUAAAACAGAGAGAAUUAUUAAUUCAAACAUAAUAGUCUUUCUUCUUCUUUUUUUUUUUUUUUUGGUGUGUGAUUUCCAGUAUAGGUAUUGGUACAUGACGUGUUAAUUUGCAGGCAUGAUCCAGAUCAAAACUGCGAUCUCGUAAUUCUCGCAGUUUGGGCUAAAAUCUUCUGAAUCAUUUAUGCGGAUCCGGUUUGGCCGAGCCUGCUUCCUUCUUUUGUGCUAUAUACGCACUCUUUCUAGUCCAAGCGCAAAACGAGUCGCAACAAAUCCAAGAGUUAACAACAUCCAAAUCAUUAGAGCCGAGUGGACAAAACGGUGAGUUUGGGUCGAAGUUUGAACGCCCAAAUGGGCAUCGGUGAAGAUUUUUAAUUCACUCUGAUUCCUGGGUCAAGUCACGAAUUACACUUCCAGAUGGAAGAUUCUUUUGUUUAGACUUCAAAAUGAUUUGUCAUGGAUGGAUGCUUGUAGGCUCUGAAAAAGCGUUGCGGAAGCAUACAUAAUUUGACACAUAUAAACGUUAUGGGAGAAAAGAAUUUCUUACUUUUAAUGCAAAUAUAGAGCACAUUCGAUUGAAACUAGCAUAAACUUUACUGUAAUUGCCUUUACAAUAACAAAGACUCUCACCAUUUUUAUUUUUUGGGGGGGGGGGGGGUUCAUUGGCGUAGGAAUAAGAGCUUUUUAGAGGUGGGCUAGUGGUUUCUAUGUGUAUAACGUACGGUUGGAAUUUCAAUAUUGGGCUCAAUGAGGAACAUUGCAGCAAGAUGAGCCCAGCUCUGAGUGGCCGAUCCUAAUUUUUGUAUCCCGUUGCUCUAUAGAGCAAUAGUUUGGUAACCCAGAAAUAGGGUAGGCAUGGUCGAGUAUUCGUCCCGUGCACCAUUUGCUGACUCGACCCGCACCUUGCGAGUCAGUCAUUUUUGACUCUUACCCAUCCCGUAUAUCAGUGGGUACCGAAUUAUCGAAUACUCACCGAGAUAGGGUCGGGUCAAUCGUACCCGUCCUGCCUCACUUAUCAUUUAAUUUUCUGUAAAAAAAUGAUUUAUACUAGUUUAAUUUUGUAUUUUACAUAUUCAUAUAAGAUUUAAUAAAUAUUUUGUUUCUCAAAAAAAGUCUCUCACUAAGAAACAAACAUGCGAAAAGAAUACAAGAAAAAUCUACAAAUGAUUUUUGUAAACAAACUAUAGUGUCUCAUAUUUGUAAUGCAAUUUGCUCAAUGAAAUUGUUUAUAUAGUUCUAAAAUUAUUAUUUUAUAGUAUGUGUAUAAAAAUAUUAAAAAAUAUGCCGGCCGUCGAGUACCUGCGAAUUUUUAAUUAUGUAACUUUAAUCCGCCCAGCAUUUAAACCAGUAUCCGACUCUCUUUGACACGAUCAAAUAAUAUGAAUCAGGUAUCCUAAUUUUCGAAUCAGAUCGGAUCGAAAAUGCGAGUUUUUUGGUUAGUGGGUAUUUUUGCUUUCCCCUACACAGAAAACGGGAAAAAAAUGUGGUUCCCCUUCCCAAAAAAAAAGAAGAGAAAAUACACUUUCGACCAUUGAAGUUUAGGCAGCUAACGAUUUGACCCCAAAAAUCUUAUCCAUGAAAGUUUUUAGCACCUGAACAUGGACCCUUUGAUUGAAUCUGCCACUUUGUAUAUCAUCUUUAGCAUUGAAGCCGUUACUAUCGAGAACACAAUUGGGUCUGUUUGAAUUGUGUUUUUCUAAAAAAAAUUUACCACAGUAUGUUUUAUGAUCUGAUAUAGGUGUGGUAAUUUUUAAUACGACAUGAAAACAUGAUAUGAAUCUAAUACGAAAUUAAUGGAUUUUGGUUGAGAUUUUACGGGUUCAGAUUAAAAUCGGGUCGAACCCAAAAAGAAAAUAGAUCGAAUUCAUAUCAUAUACGGGUUGACCCAAUAACCCGUUUAUGAAUUAAAAAGAAUUUAAUAAAUAUAAAAAUAUUUUAUCAACAAAACUAAGUUAUUCUUUUUUUUCCCAAAGGCAUUCAUCACUUAAUCCUAAAUAAAUUUGUUUAACUUGUAUGAAGUUGGAAUUAUUAUGUUUGGACAAAUAAUGCAUUACAUUAUCUUCUACUUUUAUAGUGUCUUAAUUUAUUUUAGAUCUGGUUUGGGAUAAAACACUUCUACAAUGUUUGAAUUUAUUUUAGAUCUGGUUUGAAAUUGCUUUAUCGAGAUUUUUAUUACUUCAUUAUAUUAUUAGUCUUUUGCGAAAUUGGUUCUAUUAGAAAUUACAGUGAUAAAUUAGUAAAUUGAAAUUCUGUUUUAGGUUAUAUCAGGUCAAUCUAAAAAUUUCAAGUUCAGGUCAACUCGAAAUUGACCCGCCAAUUCAAAAAUUUUAGGUUCAGGUCAGGUAUCUUGACCUAUUACGGAAUGGGGGGUCAUGUUCGAGUCAGCAGGUUUUUUGUUAUACUCGGGUCUCAAUCCGAUCCCCAGCCCAUUUCUGACCCUAUUGCCAGCCCUAAUAUGAUAUAUACAAGAUAAAAAAAAAAGUGAUUGCUAGACAUGUUUAUGAGAAAUUUCAGUAAUAUUCUCCAAGUAAUGCUCAAAUAUUAUGCAGGUAUUGUAGUUUUUUUUAAGUGUUGAAUUUUUAUUAAGAUUUAAAAUUAGAUAUUGGUCAUUCAAAGUGGUGAAAAAUGGAAAGUUAGGUGUCAACAGUUGUUAAGGAUAUUAGGAUUUCAAGUAUUACGACCAUUAUGGCUCAAGGGUGUCGGCUGCGAAGUAGCAUUUGUGGAAAUAUUUACUUCACGUUUGAUCGAUGUGCCGUAUAGUCGUGACAUUGUACUAAAAGCAAGGAUGCAAUGCAGAGUAUAUUUUCUUGUUUUUGGAUUGCAGAGGAAAAAUCUCAGGCAAACGCCAAAAUGGCAAGUGCAUGCAAUGUACACUAGAUCCCACUUUACCAAUUCAAUCCUUCACUUUUAAACGCAAUUGAAGACCUUUUUCUGUAUUUAUCUGAGUUGGAUCAAAAAUGAGAGAACAAGUAGUUUUCAUUCACCUUCUUUUCUUGCUUUCCUUUUUCCUUUAUAACAUUCGGAUCCAUAUGGAGCCUAACGGGGAAAGGGGAUGGACAAAUUAUCUCCAAAUUUUCAUCUUUAUGAAAAGUUCUUUGACCAUUGAACCUCUGUACCUUGUUUAUAACUAAUAAACUACACAGACGACGAAAUACCAAUUCCACAUGUAAACAGUAAAGUUCCUCAAUAUUCUGCUAAGAAUCGAAGCGAAAAGCGGGCAGGACUAAAAGAUGUAGUAUGAUCAACAUCUCUCUGUCUUUUGCCCUAUUUGCAUUAUUGUAUGGGCAAGAUGCCACUUUCUUUGAUCCGCUCAUGACCUAUCACUGGGUAAAAAGCACCCACAUGAAUGCGUACAAACAUAUGAUAAUAGUUUUACUCCUUUUUCUUUUUUCCUUCCUUUUUCACCUCUUUGGAGCUCGAAAAUGUUGUGAGAAAAUAUGAUUUGGACUAGUUUGGUUUGUACAAAAACUACGCAGAAACAAAGGACAAUUCAUCAACUGUGGAAUGGAAGUACGCAGUUGUAUUAUGGCGAUAACUACAACUCUAGUAAAUUGUCAAAGUUUUGACUUUUACGGAAAUGGCCUCAUGUUUGAUUCAAUUGAAGAGGAUUUUGAACUAAACAAAAAACGGGCUCAUCGUAAAAUUGCUAUAUAUAUAUAUAUAUAUAUAUAUAUAUAUAUAUAUAUAUAUAUAUAUAUAUAUAUAUAUAUAUAUAUAAGUAAAUUUUAUAUACAUUGACAAUGUAUAUACUAUCAUGGUUAGAUGCACGAUAUAUAUAUAAAAUUUAGAAUUCAAAUUCAAAUUUAGAUUAUGUGCCAUGAAUCUAAUGAUAAAAUUAUAUACAUUAUCAGUAUAUAAAAGAUUAUUCCUAUAUAUAUUUAUAUAUAUCUUUGUACCGACCAUUGUCACGUUGGUUGAUUCCGAACUGAAAGAUUCACAAAACAAAAUUGCUAUAUAUCUUUGUCCUAAUCAUUGUGACGUUGAUUCUGAACCGAAAGAUUCACAAAACACAUCAAUUCAAAGCAGUAAACACCGGAUGCUACCCUCCCGUAAUAUGUUAUUGCCUUUGCCAAGUGUAUGGAAGAACAUUUCACUUCUUCUUCUUCUUCUUUUUUUAAAAAAAAAAAAAAAAAAAUUUAAACUCAAACUUUAGAACAAGGAAUCUAGAUGUGCGAUCACCGAGUUCUGUUCACCUUUAUAGGACAUCGCAUGCAAACAAACAACCUUUGGACAAGAUUCUGACUUUCUUUCUUUAAUAAUAAUAGGUGGAACUGAACAAAGAAAGAAACAAUAAUAGAUUCUAGUAAUCCUCUAGAUCUCUCACACGUGUACACAUGAGAAUCAUACGCUUAUGCUUUUUCUAGCAUCUGCAUAGAAAAUAUCUAAGGGGGAAGAAGGUAGAUUGGAAGCAAAGGAAGGGUAAAGUCGAUGAUCACUAAAUUCCAGCCUCAGCAAUCUCAUCGAUCUUUUUACAUUGUGCGCCUUUCAACUUUGAUUGAUAGCAACCGACUAACUUUUCUAUACCUUGAGUCAGAAAGGACAGAAAGCCGACUUUACCUUGCACUUGCCUAAAAAUGGGAAAGCCUAGGGUAAAAAUCACAAAACCAUUUUGGAUCACAUUUGAUUAUAGAGUUAAUUUCAUGAACUUCUCCUGAAAUUUAUCUUAAUAUCACCUAGCACCGCUAAGGUUUCCGACAUCUCUUAUAGGUCGAUCUCUUAUAAUUAUGACAAUUUGUGUAACAUUAAUGUCACCCCUUAUGUGUAAAAGCAAUAGUAUUAAAAAAUGAAACGCAUUGAAGAAGAGAGAUUAUAUUAUCUUUUUACUUUUAUCCUUGUGUAAUUUGAUUUAUGAAUUUUGAAAUUUAGAAAAAAAAUAAAUAAAUAAGGUGGAACAUUAAACUGAGAGAACGCCUCUGCGUGCAAGGAUAACUUCUAAAGCUAGUUCAACAUUUUAAAAAGGACUGAAACUUUGAGAGUUUUUUUUUUUGCAACAAGAAGGAAACUAAGAGUAUAGAUAUUGUAGCAAAGAGACACAACAAAUGUUGUCCACAAAGAGGGAAAUUAAAGCAAAAAAUUCAAGAGAUCAUUUGUAGUAUGGAGGAAAUUAAGAGCAAAGAUUUUUUGCAACAAAGGGAGAGAAAAAUAUUUUAGAUGGCAUUCUUGCUAUUUAAUUAUGGAUAUUUUAGCUUGCAGGAAUUUUUUUUUUUCUUUUUCCAGCCUUUUGCUACUUAGAAGAUAGGAAAACGUUGGGGGCAUGAUUGUCAUUUCAAUGCUUCUAAUUGGGACUUUUAGUCACAUCAUAACUAACAGGGGGAGAUAUCUGAAUUUAACCCUCGAUUAUAAGUGAACCUUCAGCUUUCCAAAGGGCGUAGUCAGUUUGCGAGAGAUGGGUUUCAUGCACGACCCUUUGGCAUGCAUCAAGAACUCCUAGCUUAGAUCUAAAACAAAAGUGCCUUCUUCUUCACAAUACCAAAUUACCACUCAGUUUGGUUCCCGUUUUUCAUCUUUAACAGUGGCAGCUCUUUCCUUUUAACCUUCUAUUGUCUUUUUUUUUUUUUUUCCUUUUGGGGUAUCGUCAUCAUUCCCAAUCCAGACGCUUUUGUAGAAAUUAAUGAUAGAAUUACUUUCACGUGAGUUUGGACAAAAAGAAUCAUGCAUUAGUUUAAUGUUUAAAAUUGAAAUCCCACAUAUUGGGUCUUAAAUCCUACCCUUCUCUGCUAAAUAAAAUGAAGAAUCGUGGCUCUCUCGAUUAUCAAGCUUCAAGUUAUCAUUCAUCACUAAGAUUUCUUAUCUUUUUCUCUUCGUUUUGUUCAAUACCCUAAGAGAUCAUAAUUAGUUCAUAGUAGUACUUUUUUUUUUUUGUGUUCCUUUAAUUUUUGGAAUCAAUCCUUGGAACAGAAGCAGACUGGCAAUCGCGCCGCCCGUGCUAUGCAUGGAAAAUUUUGCAGCAGAGCAUUUGAAUCUCAGGCAAGAAAAGAAUUGAGAUUGCUAUAACUUAAUUCUACAGAUGCUGCAAAGAGAACGAUUAACAAAUGAUGCUAUAAUAAUGGGGGAUUGCAAAGGAAACAGCCUGCAGCGACUGUUUGUUUUACUAGUAAGAGGGUAGCUCCUGCAGGUUGGAUCUAAAUAGGAUUAUCAGUGGUUCCGUUUCGGAAUGUUUUUGUUUACUUGAGCAAAUUGUAGGCCUUUCCUUCAACCAUGUAAAUCACUGAAAACACAAUAUAAACUUCACAAUAUUUUAUAUAUGGACCCAGCACACUGUGCUAAAGGAAAAAGCGGUAAAGUACAUGAUCUGAACCUUGUAUAUAAAGUAAAUCUUAUGUAUAGAAUUCUGUUACGGCGGUGAAUUUUGUUAACUUUAACGAAUUCUGUUAGUUUAUAAUGUAGUUCAAAACAUGAGAUGUCGUUUUAUAUGUUUUGAAACCACGGAGGACUUUUCUGUGUAUUAGAUAUAUUACAGAGGGUUUUUUUGUUUCUUCCGAAAAAUGCUGCUGCUACGACCGUUUCUGUCCCUAAUUCAUCUAAAACAAAAGGAUCCUUUGAUUGUAAAUAGUUUAAGCACACGUCGUUUUUAAAGCGUGGUCGUACUCAUUUUAUAUUUGAAAUACAUAAUCUAAAGAAGCCUUUUAGUUCAUUUUUCUUUUGUCUUGGAUGAGAAAGCUGCACCACAUAUGCGUAAAAAUCGCACAAACAUCCCUCCUUUCUCUCAUAACGAGAAGUUACUCCGUAAUUAAAUGCCCUUGAUUUCGCUUCCUUCACCCAAUGAGAGUAUAGUGCUGCCUGCUGCGAUUGAUUAGCGGCAAGAUCAGUAGUCAAUAAUGGUAGCAUGCUCGAGUUUUUCCCCUCUUCCCCGGAAGAUGAAUCCUUUAGCAUAAUUAAUCAUCUGGAUGAUUUAGAACGUGCAAAAAAGCACCAUAAUAAAAUGAGCUUUUUGAGAGUUUUAUUAUAGAAAUAUAUAUUGUAGCAAUGUAAUGUAUGUGAAAUUAAAAAAAAAUGUGAUCGAAAAAUGUAUCAAGAGAAUUUUUUUUUUAUUAAAUUCUUUUAACAAGUGUCCCUGAUCACUCAAAAGUACAUUCAAAUUAUACCCAAUAAAUGGGUAGGGUCAUUAGCUUGUGAGGUUCGAGGUUCGACUCUCAAUCCCUCUCCUUUCCUCGUUCCCCUUCCAAAGGUUUGAAAUCUUGCUUCGAGCUAAAAAAAAUUAUGCGUAACUUACUAUGUAGAUACACACAUUUACAUUUAAUGCACCUCAUGUAUUUGGACAUUUUUCCAAAUUAAUUUCACUACUGUCAAAAAAUUAACACCUGAGACCCGAGUAGACUCUCUUGUAGUCCUGAGACACCUGUUAACCAAACCCUUGUUUAUUAAGCAAUACGGUUUUACAUGCGGAAUAUUAGUGUAUUAGAUGAUAACUUUGAAUGGUUGUAUUGCUUUUAGAAGCCUAAUCAUGGUACAAAUGGUAUAAGUUCUUAAAGAUCACGUUCUAACAUAUUUCAGCGAUGUACGUGCACUCUAAAGUGAUCUAGGAAGAUGGAGCUGCAUGGCCAAAAGGAAAAGCUAGAUGAGUAGUCUAUUUUUUUUUUUUUUUUUUUUUUGAGGUUUCAAGCAAAACCCGUUGUAUAAGGUUUCUGAGUAUUGCAAUAAUCAAUUGAAGUUUGAAAAAUUAGAGAAACCUCCCCAGACAAUAAGCUUUGGUAAUAGUUGAUGAUGUAAGCACAAAAAAAUCAACGAAUAUCCUAUAUUGCCUCUAUCUAAUUUUUAAAAUUUCACAGUAGUUAUUUGCUAGAAAAUUUGAUCCAUGUUUUAAAGACGCCGUCCAAACCAAACCGGAAAAUCGAAAAGCUGGGAAAUCCAGCGUACUAGGUACCUGACCCACAUGGAUAUCCUAUGGCCUAGGACGGGGGUAUCCUAUGGCCUAGGACGGUUACGAUUCGAUAUUUUGUUGAAUUGUUAGAACUAGGUUGGGUCACAAUAAUAUCAUUCCAUGGGUCUUGGUAACCGACCCAUGAACACCUCUUCUAUUAGCUGAUCAACUCUUUGUAAAAUUGAGCAAAAACUCGAUUCAGAGGAAUUGAAAAUUGAAUAUAAUGUACUAGAUCAUAUUACACUAUAACUUUUUGAUAAAAAGGUAUUAACGAGAAAAUGUUUCCUUUUUUAUCUUUAAAUUCAAUUUUUUUAUUUAGAAUUUGUAAAUUUUGUGAAAGCUAUUAUAGUAUUUUCAUAUAACACCAAAGAAGAUAAGUGUAAUUUUUUUCAAACUUUAAGGAAGGCGAACGCAAUUAUUAAAAACUUCAAAUUUAUCAUAAAUAACGUAAUUAUCCCUAUUAUCAUUUUGAAUCGGUAAAGAGAAUUGUAACAAAUUGUAAUUUAUCAUAAAUAACUCAUAAACUUGAGACAAUUUUUAGUAUUGCUCGUAAUCAAAUAAAUGUCAAUAUAUCAAUGAGUGUGUCUGGACAAGAGAUUAUUUAUUCAAAUAUAUUUAUUUACAUCAUCAUUACAAUUUUUAAUAUAUUUUUUUAUCUCACAUAUAUUACAAUACAAAAAGUGUUAUCUCAAAUAAUUUACUAUUCAAACACACUCAAAUGGACAAUUAAUCUGGACGUACAUUCUGAAGUCUUGAAUUUUUAACCAUACCACGACCUUCCAUCAUUUGAGACGGCCGUCAACUGUUGCAGCCUUGACUUACACGACGAGUUAUCACCAGUCACCACCAUACAAAAUCCGUGGAUAUGAGGUGCUGAUAUGCACAUUGUCCUGGCCAUAAUAGCCCUAGGUGAGAGGUGCGACUCAAGUGGCAAAAUUGUAGGCCCAUAUUUGAUUUUAUCAAAAGCUAGAGUAUCCUCAAUUCCCUCGAAUAGGGAUUUUGUGGGAUGGCCAUGAAUUGGCCAAAAAAAAAAAAAAUUUAAGAUUUAGAUCACAACUUGUGCAUUGAUUUUAAUAUCGUGUGUGUGUGUAAGAUUCACAAAAUUUUGUUCUAUAAUUACUAAUAGUUAAAAAUGAAUUAAAUCAUGAACAAAUAAAAUUACAUCUUGUAAAAUUGAAACAAAACUUGUCCAAACAAUUUGUCUGGCAACCAUUUGGACCCUUGGUCCUUAACUUCUUCAGGUGCUGAGGAGCAGAGUGAACUGUUCCUUCGCCCAUUACUGAAGAAUAUGGUGUGCUCGACAGAACAAGCUGCAUACGCCUAUUUUUGAAGGGUGCUUUUACUCAAAACCCUCUACAAAAAGAAAAGGAAAAAAAAUAGUGAUCAAAGUUAAUUUGAAAUUACAAUUUUUUUUUAAUAAAGAAGUGAUCACACCUAACUUGAGACAUCGAAGGUAAAUUUAAAGACUCUGACUCUCAUCCAGCUGCAGUCGAGCUAUCGAGGAACAUAACGGCUGAUCAAUCUUUGUUAUGGAACAUAACUGCUAAUACUACGUACAACUUUAGACCGAUCGAUAUCUCAAUCCCAAGUGCAAAUUGGUUGUGGCAAUGGAUAAUGGUCCAAAAGGGGAGCAUCACUCAGAGAAGUCCAUAUCGGUUAGAAGAAGAUACUCUCAAUAGCCAAUGCACCUCAAGUUGGAGCUCCCAUUGGCAUGAUCUGCAAAUCGACCCUCAAUUUGGAUAGUUGUGUGCAGCUCAAGGCAGGACCAUGUAAUAAUUAACUUCAAACUAUAGAGAAUGAAGACAAGUUAAAGCAAAGAUUUUCUCUUGACAGUGGUCGAAUGAAAAAGGUUCCCGUGUUUGUUUAUGCUCCUGCCGUUGAGUUAAUCAAGUUUAACAAAUUGAUCAGCGAGAAAUAUAUAUAUAUAUAUAUAUAUAUAUAUAUGAUGUUGCUGCCUAUUUUUUCUUCACAAAAUAUUUGAGGAAAAGAAACAUAUAUAAUCUGUAAUUUGAUGUUCUUUUAUGAUAGAGCCAGCGUUGCUAAUGGUUCAAAAGAAUGCUCAAUAGAUAGAGGAGUUGAGAAACAAUUACCAGUGCCCGAAUUGAAGUACAAAGAUCCAAAUGAAGUGUACAUUAUAAAUGUAUCGUUGUAUAUUUGUGUGUGUAAAGUCUACAUCCCAUACACUGCUGCAUGCAUCGCUGUGAAAGUAGCAAGAAAAUUUGGUCCCGCUACUCCUAUUUGGAGUUGAAUUUGAAUAAAACCGGGUCGUCGAUUGGAAGAUUAUUCUUCUGUUCUGUACCUUCGCUUUCAAUGGAACAACCUGGACUGAUAAUCGACAUUUUCUGCUUUAUGGGCUCUUAUUAUUAUUGUUAUUUUUUUAAUUUAAAGGGCUCUAUACAAAUGCAAGCUUGCAAGAAUAAUUGAUGUGCUUCUUGAAAGAAGACUCAAAAGAAGUCAUAAAUAGAGAGUGACGAGAUUCCUGCAGAAAUUGGGCUUUUGUUUCAAUUGUGUACAAAACAUCCUCGUAGCUUAUCUCAAAAGGCUAUGUGAAGUUUUAUAUGAUUAGAGUACCUAGUGAUUAAUUUCACAGUAUUACAUAGAAUGAGUCCCUGACACAAAAGAGAAUUCUCUUUUGUGAUGAAAAACCAGAUCAAGUUAAUGCUGCUAUUGCCAUAACGUCAAGUACUCAGGUGUAUAGUUCAAUUGCAUAGACUAUGCUAAUUGCUUGCUGGAGCCAAAUGUCGUGACACAUCAAAGGGUUAAGUAUACUCGUCCUGUUAAGUAAAUAUAGCUCCAUGGACGUUGCAUAAUUGGUAAAACCUCCAGAGUCAUGAUCAGAUGCAGUUAAUACAUAUGGUUUAGCCCUCAAACUUUAAAAAAAAAAAUAAAAAAUCACUGCCAACUUCGUUUUCCAGUUUGGGGCAAGGGAAGGAAGUAAUUGUUAUUAACGCAUGUGUUUGGAUUUUUCAUUCGAAGCCUUCAAGAUUAUAGACUCUUUUUCGUGCUUGAUAAGCUUAAAUCUUGGUAUUCUAAUUUAACACAAUUUCAAGCUAUUAAUGUUAUAAAUACAAUCUAGUGGAAGGCAUUAUCGAAAACAAAUUUGGGAAUUUUAGCUAAACACUUGCUUGGAAAUAUAGAUAAAUUAAAGUGCAGUUUGUCAACAUUGUGGUGGACAAUUUAGUCAAAUAUCAACAUUAAGUCACUAACACAAUAAAUGAGUCACCAUACAAAAUAGAAAUGUAUAAAAACACAACAAAUUUUGCUACUUGCCAAAAGUGGUGUCAACGGAAGGUUAAACACUCGGUAGGAAAUAGAUAAAUUAAGGGAUACUUUUAAAAACCUCUCUUAAGGUUUCUGACAAUUUCACUUGAUUCUUCUCGAGUUUAAAUAAUUACACUUAUGUUUCAUGGUAUAGUAAAGUACCUAGAAAACGUUCCAAUUUCUCUAUCUCAUGUCUAUUUCUACUCCUCUAUUUCCUAGUUAUUAUACUCUUAUUUGUUAUCUUUGAUUUUAUGGAUAUUAGUAAAUUGAAAUUGCAAAAUCAACAGAGGGAACAGAUCAUGUGUUAAGUACAUAUGCUAUAAAUUUCCCAAAAGAGAAACAUUAGGAGAUUCUAGAUUAUCCAUUCCUUUGUACCUCUAUACUCUACUCAUUUCAGGCGAGAUAAAGAAGCAAUACAAAUGUAGAUCAUUUUCAACAUAAGUUGACUCAAUUAAUAUAUAAGAAUGAAACAUAUUUUUACAAAAAUGAAAUAUUAUUGAAACUUAUAUGUGACCCUUGGAUGGAUAGGCAAUUUCCUACAAGUGACCUUUACUUCUGAAACAUAUGUCCUAACCGGUGAUGUUCGGAUCGCGAAGCACCUACCUUUUUCCUACCCAAAAAAUGUGGAUCAUGAUCGUGCAAAUUGGUGAAAAGACUUUUAGGUUUGUUGAUUAUGGUGAGAAAGUGUACGAAGAGGUAAUAAUGGCCAUCCAUGAUAGUGAUGCAGCGCGGUCUAUCUGUACGGACAUCUCAUCGUCCACAUAAUAUGAAAGAAAAAAAAAAAAAAAGAAAAGCCACACCCACCACAGGCGAGGCACAGCUCCCCGUCGUCAUUAUUUCUGUAUAAACAAAAAAAGAAAAAGAAAAAGAAAAUUGUAUUCUAGUUGAACAGGAAUAUUUCUUCAUUAAACUAAAACUCACGUUCUCCUUCAGAACCAAACUUAGGAUAUCCACAGAAAAAGAAAACAAAAGAAGACACACAUUCUCCAGUCUCUCUCUCUCUCGCACACACACACAAAUAGUCUACAUUUAGGCCGCUCAGAUUUUUUUCCUCUCCUCUUAGGUUUAGGCAAAUGUGGAAAACUGAGGAUAAAAGAAGCGAUUGGUUUUGCUAUAAAAGGGAAAGUGGACUUUCCUUUCUUGACAUGGGGCUUCUGUUCCCAAUUCUUCCCUCCCUCUCUCUAAUUGGUGGCUUCUUUUGAUAUUUUCGAUUCCAUAUAGGAUAUAUUUUUUUCUUGUUUGGAAGCUGGUGUUGUGUGUGAGGAGUUGAGCUCAACAGUGGUGUUAAGCUAAGAGUACAACUGUUUCUUACUCAGCGCACGAAACAAAGAACAUCUCCUGCAGCUCCUCACCCUCUCACUCCAGUACCCAAUAAGGUAAACAGUACCGAUCCCCCCAACCCCCUCAAUAUCCUUGCACACCCCAUCUCCCACUCCCCAGCUUGCAUGUUAAUGAACAUCAAUUGGUGGGCUUUUCUGGGUUUUUUCGCUCAGAUCUGUACUUGUAUUCUUUCUUUAGGGUUGCUUUUUGCUCACUUAAUCCUCCUCCUGAUUUCCUUGGAAAAAAAUUGCACCUGCCGGCGACCACACCGACCUUUUUGCGCCUCUUUCCUGUGCCCGUUUCUAUUUAAUACUCUCUUUUCCCAUUGCUGCAUAAAAUUAUUUGCCAAACCCACUGCUCGUGGUACCACACUACUAUUGCAACAUCUUUGAUGUUCUUUUCCCUCUGGGUGUAAUUAUCAAGGCGAUCGAAAAGAAAAAAUGGCGAGAGAGAAGAUCAAAAUCAAGAAAAUCGAUAACAUCACGGCGAGGCAGGUGACCUUCUCCAAGAGGAGACGAGGGCUUUUCAAGAAAGCUGAAGAGCUUGCUGUUUUGUGCGAUGCUGAUGUUGCCCUCAUAAUCUUCUCAGCCACUGGCAAGCUCUUCGAGUUCGCUAGCUCAAGGUAAAUCUAACCCUACCCUAUAUAUAAUCAUAUGGUAUACUAGUAACUUUUUAAUGCAAAGAUGAGAGCUGGGGUGGCUUCAUUAUCAUGUUCAUAUAUAUACACACACACACACACAAACAGAGACAGUAUUAGAUGUGUCUCAUUCUCCAUCUCUCUACCCUCUUUCCUUCCGUCUCUCUUUCUAGAUAUAGGCAGGGUCUGAGAAGAUGAUGUCAGCAACAUUUUGUUGGGAAGAUCGGCUCUUCUUAAUUCAGGUGACUAGACGAUAGGGAAUCAAGACUGUGACCACUGACAUGAGAAGUGUUUAGCUCAGCUCCAAAUAUAUUUUGACCCAAAACCAAACAACAGAAAGUAAUUUACAAUAAAGUUCUGGUCUCCUUCGUUACCCCUUACCCGUACUCCUUUUAUCUUAAGUUUAAAUAUUUACCGAUAGUAGUAACAUUUAAGAAUUGCUAAAAUUAGAAACCCUAGUAAAGAUUCUUUUCAAUCUUCAAAGUUUUCUUUACUUUACUUGAACCCCACAACUUCUUUUUUUUGGCUUCUUUUUACUCAGUUUCUUAUCGACCCAGCUCUCGGUUUUCCGUUCAGUAAGUUAUACUCCUCCUAACUUACUUGAUCACAGUAAAUAGGUCUCACUUGUUCAAUGGAUUUCACAUUUUCUUUCCAGAAUGUCUCUCCGAUUUUAAAGGGUACUAGACUAUUUCAUCACACUAGUAAAUCGCUCUCACUUGGGUUCGCAGUUUCUUUCCAAAAUUUUCACCAGCUCCCACGUUCAGAAGUAGCUUAAUUAUUAUUUGAUCAUAGCAGGAAACUCUUCUCCAUCUUGUAUAUCAAUCUGAAACGGUACAAUUCCAUGGACCAUUCUUUUUGAUUGACUUGCUAGAAAGGAGCAUUUGAGCUGCACAAUUCCAUUAGUCUCUUCACGAAAUGGAUGGCCGAAUCUCAAAAUGUUCAGUUUAAUUUUCUCCAGGAUGUUUACUUGCAUCAGAAAUUAAGCGGUGUAGAUUUCAUGUUUUCAAAUUCUUGAUUUUUAAUUUCACUCAUAGCAUUAGCGUUUGAGAGAUGCUAAAGGGAAGAAUAUGGAGUAGUGAAACUUCCUUUUCAUGCAAUUAGAAGCUGCUAAGUUAUGAUCAUAGAAUAACGAUUAAUUUGAAAGUCUAUCUUAACUGAGUUAACUGGUUCCUAAUUAAUGGUUCUAAAAUAAAGAAACGAACCAGUCAUUAAGAUCACCAACUGGUUUAAUUGGUUCGUAAUUAAUGGUCAUAAAAUAAAGAAACGAAGCAGUCAUUUGAGAUCACCGGUCAAAUCAAUCUUAUCAUUUUCUUCACCGAUUAACCUGCCAAAACUUUGUAUUAAUUGGAUGAUACCAAAUAAAUCUAAAAAUCGAUUAUACACUUUUGUAAGUGUAAACUAUAUACACUGCGCGAUCUUUAGUUGCACGGUGUAUGUUAUUCGUUGGGACAAUAAAACAGUAAAAAUGAAAACCUUUUUGUAAAAGAAAAACUUCAUAUUAAGAUACUUAAAAUUCUGCCUGGUAAUAUAGAUGCCAACGGUUGUCUUACUUCUUUUAAACAUCUAAUAUACUGUGGCAUGAUCUUGUGUUUAGCUCACUCCGAAGGAUGUCAGAACAAAUCAUUGUAGCUAGAUUUCAGCAAUGAAAGUGUUUUCCUGUCAUGUUUCAGUGGCUGCAUGUGAACUAUCUUUUAAGGUGUAGCUAUUAGAAAUUAAUGUUUGCUCACAAAAUCAUCUUUCAUCCUCAUGUGCAGCCACUGAUUAACUUAGCAUCAUUUUGGUUCAACUUCCUAUAUAGUACCUUGUCUUGCAGCUUAUUCAAAAGUUGCUUGCAUUAAAAAAAUUCGCUUGCCAUAUCGCUAAAAUAUGUCUCAGUUGGUAGUUUCGUUGGAUCAUUGCAUAAAAUGGCUCCACGCUAACAGACAACCACAAGAAAAUACUAAAAAUGGUCACUUGGACCAAAUUCUGUCUAGUUUCUAGGAGCCUGUAUCCAGUCCACUUUGGAUUCUUUCUUACAUGAGUUCCCUUUUUUGUGGUUUGUCUACUAUCUAAAUUCAAACGCAUAUUUUGCAAUACCUGGAUAAGGCAUGCAUAUGUCUGUUUUGUGGGGUCUAACCAGUAGAUUCGUGAUAAAGAGGUAAGAGAAAUUCCAUUGUAUUUCCCUAGUCUCUGAUAUGAUAUCAAAACUUCACUCAGGUGUGCCUCUUGUCAGUUUUUGUACUUGCUUCGGUCAUAUGUGUAAGUUCUGGAUACAGGAAGGAAUUUCUGUAAGAUUAAUAGUAUUCGUAAAAAGAUUUCUAGUCUAGGUCUGAUAAUGGGCGAGUCAUGGCUUCUAGGUUUGAGUAUACUUGACCGCAUUUUUGUGUACUCUUCUGGCCUUUCCUUAAAAAGAUUUCACAUAUGCUUGUGCACAAGGCUGGAAAUCACCAUUUGAAUUUCUCUUCUCUCCUUUAUGCUUUAAUCAGUGGUAGGAUUUAUUUUUGGUUGGGCUGAUAACUCAAUGGUUGACUGCAUAGUCCAUGAUAUGACAGGUUUUGCAAUUAGACUUGAGAUGGCAAAAAAUAAAAACUCAAACAAGCAUUUUUACUAGCCAAAGAUAAAAAGAUUAAAUUCACUUUGAAGAAAUAUAACUCAAGGUCACCUACUUUUAAUUAGCUAAUGUAAUUAUAUUGUAACCUAUCAAUGACAAGGUGAAUUUUCUGUACUUGUAAUUUUGUUUUUCUUUAAACAGAUCUUUACAUGUAUUUCAUUUUAUAUCAUACUUCUGAUAAUGUUUAUCUCUCGGUGUAAUGAACAUGUUUUGUGUUUCUUUCUGACAAAACUGAAAAAAGAAAGAAAAAUUACAGUUGGAAAUGAUUGCAUGUUGUAGAAUGGAUGAAAGAGAUCUACAGUCAACUAAAUGUUAGGAAGAGGAAUGUGCUAUGGAACACUUGCAUGGUUGAUGUCAUAAAACUACCGGUUCAAGUAAUGAUAACAUAACUUUCCUUCUAUUUGCACUGAUUUUUUUUUAACCAUAAAUUUCUAAUCAUAAAUGCCUCAGCAGCAUGUUGCAUCCCCGAGGCUUGCAUUUUUUGGGAUCCUUGAGCUUCUUGCUUAAAUACUUCUUACUCUAUAUUAGUCUCUCCAGAUCUUGAAUGGACCUGUGAAUUUGGUGGAAUGGUUUAGGUUGUAGCUUGUAUUUGCUUAAUACAUACUUAUAUAUUAGACAUCCCAGUCCAGAGGUUUGAAGCUUCGACUUUCUUUGAAAAGGCGUUGGAUCAUGGUGAACAGCUAACUACGCUAUCGAUUACGUAAAUGUUUUGAGUUUGAAUAUCUUUCCAAUCUCAUAGAAUCUCUCUUCUACUCAAUUAAUUGAGAAAUAUUGUAAAAGGUGUCUCACACGUUCUCGUGAGGCAAAUCGAGUCUUUUGAUUUACUUUAAUGCUAAUGGCCAACCUUUGCAAAUAACUGAUAGUUGUGCUGACUUUCUAUUCAUUGUCAUGCUUGUUAUAUGAUAACUAUGGCUUUGUGAUAUGUAGGGCACUGUAUUUUUGUCCUGUCAUCAUGAAUUAUAAACUAACAGGUCAACUAAGUAACUGUUUUGAUAAAAUUGAAAUCUGAAUUGUGAAAAUUAAAUAUUGACCCCUUUUGACAAGUGAGUUUUUUGAAUAUUUGUCUAAAACUUUACUAUAAUUUACUGUAAAAGUUUUUUAAAAAAUUUUGAAAGUGUGUAAAUUUUGAAUAUUUUAAAGUGUAUAGUUUAAAAUUUUUGAAAUUUUUUUUGAAAUUUGUAGUUAAACUUGGGAAAAAGUUGCCUGCCAAACAAGGCCAUUAAAAGUAUUGAGUUGCUAAAUUAUUUAAGUUGUAUCGUUUGAUAAUUAACUUUAUAAAACUGAAUUCAAAUAUCACAAAUAUUUUUUGACAAUUUUAAAAAUUGCCCUUAUUUGUAUAUUUGGAAAAAAAGAAAAAUGUGCGUAUGUGUGUGAGAGAAAAAAUAAUGAAGUAAUUUAGAGGUGGUAUUUAAGUAUGUGCAUUUGCAUGUAAGAGGUGUGUCUGCAUGCUUGUGUAUCUGUGUGUGUUGAAUAUAAAGGAAAUAAAUGUGUACCAAGUGCUAGAAUACUAUGAGUGUGUUAUGUGUGUGAGUGGCAUAGUAUGUGUAGUCAAUUCAGAAGAUUUAGUGAAAUUUUGUUACUUAAAAUUUUAUACCCAAAUUAAGGUGUGCUUAAUAAAUUAAGUGGUAAGGUAUUUCUGUUAUCAAACAUGCUGAAUUCAAAACUCUGAAUGAAUUAAUUUUCAACAUUAAGUGGAAUUAUCAAACAGACUAAUAGAACUUAAAACUGAACAGAUUAUUGCAUUUUUAUAUUCUAGGGAAUCUAUUUUAAAUAUUGUAUAGUAAAAACUAUAAAAUUAGGAUUUAGAAAUUAGAGGUCCUAGGUUCAAAUCCUAUCGAAUUGUCAAUCUCUCCUGAUUUUAAGUUAGUAUAUGUCCUACUAAAUGUGAGGAUUAGUUGUAAUAUCAUGUAUUGGCUCCAAAGUCGUGAGUUACAUGUAAUUUUAUUAAAAACAAAUGCUCUUUUCCUUUUCAUCAAUCAAAUAUAACUUGAGAUAAUAAGCAUAGCAAUUUGUUAAUCACAGUUGUAAUCUAUAGCAGAAACUUGAGGUGUUUUCAAAAAUAGAGGUAAUGUUAUCUUCAAUCAAAUUCUUUUGUAAAUAUCUAAUGCCUAUAUUACUUUUGGUGUAAUAAGUUGUGUACUAAAAUAGGAUUUUGGAAAAUGAAUUAUAAUAUGUUAACUCAAAGUAAAUUUACUUCACUUUCCUUCAUAUGUAAAAGUAAAGGAACUCUUAUUAAAAUAAAAAUGUCAAAUGCUCUCCAUAACAAAAAUUGUCUUUUAGCUGUUUGUAUUUUCUACUUUUACUUGGGCUUUAAAAUUUGUGGUGGAUGAGUUUAGUAUGGGAACAUGGUAUCAUCUGACCAUGAGUGGCUCUUUUCACGAUCCUUACCUUUUAAAUGCUUUACAGAGAAGGAUUUUAUUUUUAUUUCUCUUUUUUUGUGGUAAUGUUUCUUCAAAGUAGCGUCGGUUGAAGUUCUCUGACAUAUUGUGAUGAGAGAACAUCACAAGUAACUCAAGUCUCCUGCAUUUUUGUGCAGCAUGAGUGAUAUCCUUGGAAAGUACAAGUUACAUUCAAGUAACCUCGAGAAGAUUGAGCAACCAUCGCUUGAGCUUCAGGUAUUACAACAUGGCGUUGCAUCUGUGUUAUCUUUCUUCUAGAGAUCCAGUCAACAUCACGGGCUUUAUCUUGUUAACGCUUUUCAUGGUUUCCUCUAUACUCUUGGCUGUACUGAUCUCAUUACCAACAUUGCCCAACUGAUGAUUGGCAAAACUGUUGUUUCAUCCUUGAAUACAUUGGAAUAUGUCUCAUUUGUUCUGACCUUGCAUUUCAUCUAAAGAUUUCGAGAAGGAUAUUACCAAGUGCAUUGGAAAUUUUGAAUAAUAAGUGGUCCUGUUUUCGGUAUGUAGAGGAAUAUUUUACGAUUUCUCUUUGGUUGUAAAGUGACUAGGUGAACUUUGUUUCGUCUAGGGUGCUCGCGAAAUGACAAGAUGAAAUUUGACUAAAUAUUUUUGAGUCGAAAAUAUCGACUCUCUUUAAUACCUACUUUUAAGAUUCUUUUUAACAAGCUUGUUGAUUUUGAUAUGCUGUGAAUGGGUGCUGCUUUCUUCAAUCGAUGCAUUAUUCGGUUUUACUUUGCCACACGAUUACAUUAAACAAAGUCUAAUCUGAUUUGGAUGUUUCAUUGCACUACGAGAUUAGCUUAUGCUCAAUUGGGACAAAUGAAAAUGUACUAAACUUAAAUUGUUGUAAAGCAAGAUGAACCAUUGGGGCUGUCGGUGAAAUGUUGAAGAUGACUGAUGUGUAUUGUCCCUAAUGAAGUUUCUUCCUUUAGCCUCCUUCCCUUCUCUACGCUAGGAUUUGUUAGUACUCAGCCUUAUGCAUGCAUCUGCUGAUUAGGGUCAAGCAAAUUUAUCAUCAUUCCAUACUCCUCUUCUUUCUCUCCCUCCGUCUGUUUUUCUCAUGGCUAGCUUUUCUCCUCAUAUAUGUCUGUUAAAUGUAUUUUGCUACUUUACGCCAAAACCAAAGUAAGCCAUUCAUCUUUUUCUAGUUGUUCCAAGAAGUGCAAGUGCAAGUUUCAUCGAGUAUUUCCAUUAAUUGCUGUGUAUGCAUAGUGAUCCUAAUUUUUCUUGCUCAUUUUAGCUAGAGAAUAGUUGCCAUGUUAGAUUGAGCAAGGAAGUUGCUGACAGGACUCAUCAGCUAAGGUACAAAAUAGAAACAGAAAAUAAAUACUGUUUUCCAUAAUGGAUUUUUAGUUUUAUUUGAAUCUUAGCAAGAUGAAAUCAUUUGAUCCUGUGGAUCAGGCAAAUGAAGGGUGAGGACCUUCAAGGGUUAAAGAUAGAGGAGCUGCAGCAGUUAGAAAAAGUGCUGGAAGCAGGACUAACCCGUGUGCUUCAAACGAAGGUUCCCAGUUCACUUUCACUAGCUUUCAUCUAAAAUUUAGGAGGGUCGCAAAUUUACUAACCUAACUUCUUCAUGUUAUCUUAAUUCUAGGGUGAACGCAUCAUGAAUGAGAUCAAUGCCCUUCAAAAGAAGGUUAGAGUUGCAGACACAAACUUUUUCCUAUUAAUGCAUUUCAGUAAUUCUUUCUUUUGACAACUCUGGUCAGUAGUAAUAGGCCUCUAUAGUCAACAUUUAUAAGCAUCAGUUCCUAUACUAAGCUUAUAAGUCGCCUUUUAUCUUCUGGCAGGGUGCAGAACUGUUUGAAGAAAAUAAGCAACUGAAGCAAAAAGUACGAUCUUCUACUUAAGUAUAAAUAAGUUUUCGCUGACAGGUUAUAUUAACAUUGUAGCUGAAACUUUUGGCCACACAGAUGGCAAUGCUUUAUGAAGGGAAGAGGCCAGUGAUUCCAGACUUGGAUAAAGAUAUGCUGAUAGAAGAAGGCCAAUCUUCAGAGUCCAUUACCAAUGUUUGCAGCUGCAACAGUGGCCCUCCUCCGGAGGAUGACUGCUCAGAUACAUCACUCAAACUAGGGUAAGUGUCUUUGUACUGCCGGUGCUUCCAUGCUUGUCAGUGGACUAAUCUCUAACUUCCUCCAUAAACACAUCUACUGUUUUAUAAACAAUUGCAAGUUUAGCCCUGGUUAUUGAGAAUUGAACAAUUCGCCAAUCUGCCUCUUAAAUGCGCUGGUGAGGUUAAUUCUCUGUGCUUGAGACAAUUCUAAAGUUGGAUAGCUUUGUACAGUGAGGAUUAACUUCAUCUUUGCUAGUGAUGAAUGUUUCUAGAGGAAUGUUUAGCUAAAGUACUUCUUGAGACGUGCAAUUUAACUGCAAAUUUUCUAGCACUAGAAUAAAUGAAAGUAAUAGUUGAAUAAGUCUAGAAAUUCGAAGUAGUUUCAAAUUUAUUGUCUUUUUGACUAGCUCAAGUAUGUUGAGGUUUGUUAGGAAAAGAUUCAUGUAGAAUUGUUUCUUGCACUCUUUCUCUCUGUCAAAAGAGAGCUGUUUAAUGAGAAAUCUGAGGUGUUUUUCAGCCUUCAAUACCAAGUCUUGAUAUCCAUUUUUAUGCUCUAUUUUCCAACAGUACUCUACAGACCAAUACCUUCUGAGGUUCUUCGUGAGAUCUUUCUCUGACUAUAGUAUAUUCACCUAUAUACAUUGGCAUUAUCCUGAGUACUUUCUCCACGUUCUUGUUACCGUUCUCUAUUACUUGUAAUACACUCUUUUUUUUCCCUUUCAGGCUACCCUUUAACUAGCCGACGGUGGACAGCUUAUGGGGACCUACCUUUAAAAAUUACUAGUAACAUGGGAUCAAGAAAUGGAGCUCUCUCCAUCUAUAUGUCUAUAUGUUAUCCAAGAUAGUGGUAAAAGUCUAUGGUAGUAUUACUCCUGUCAUAAAAUUAAGAGUCUGCUGUGUAUGGCUGGCUCGAUUGCCUCCAAAGUCCUAAGGUGCAGUAAAAAAGCUCGUGUUGCUUGCACCUGCUUCAACCAGAACUCAAGAUUUGUACUCUCUUGUAUGAACUUGCUUCCGGGCUUCAGCUGAAAAGUUAAUCCUAAUAAUAUGAAAUACUACUGGUUGAACUAUUUAUCUAGAGAUGGCAUGAAACAACUACUAUAGUGAAAGGUAUAUUUCCUAGCUUGCCCGGAUUCCACCGAACAAGUAAUUACGCUAGUCUUUUAAAGACUUUGUUUGUCGAUUACCAAGUACAAGCGAGGAUGAAGAAAUGAAACUCGAAAUUAUAUGAGAUGGUUUUGGGCACGAAUAUCUAGAAAUAAGGAUUUCUAUUCGGUUCAAAUUGAUUGAUAUAUUCUUUUCUACUUUUAGUAUAAUUUCAAAACUUUUAAUUCAUAUAACAAAAUUGGUGUAAAAUUUACGAUUAUACAAAAACUCUACGAGUUUGUAGCAAAGGUAACAAGAAUUAUACGAAUCAAUGUAGGUUGGAUAUGACUUUAACUUGUAAGACACUUGGAUCCUAAAUAUCCACCUCAUUGGAUAUGACCAGAAGACGAAUGAAAUUCAAAGCGCUCAAAAUGGUCAAAAUUCCAUAAGCCAAGAGAACUAUAAAUGCAAAAAAUUAUCUAUUAAUAUACUUGUUCCAUAAAGUAUGAAUUAUGUGUUUUUGGACUGCCAAUCAUUGUUAGUAUAAUAUAGAACGGGUAUAAUAUAAACUAUAAUAGUACAUAUUUAUAUUAUACAGAUUUUUCUUCAAAUGUAUGAUUAGAAGUUUGGCACAAAAACACGAGUUCAGCAAAAACUCAGACAUGAAUAGUACGAAUAUAUUUGAAAUUUAUGAAGCUAAAAUAAUUUGUUUGGAUAGAGCAUUAUUCCAAAUAAUUAUUUGCAAUAAUUACUGCAACACUUUUUGUGAUGUGAUGUAUGUGAGAUAAAAAUGUGGUUGAGAAUAUAAAAAAGUAAAUUGAAAAAUGUGUUUGUAAUACAAGCGAAAUUUUUUUUUGGAAAAAUUUGCUAUAUAAACAUAUAAUUUUUAAAUAUUAUGGUACAUAUACCACUUUUUAACUCUUACUCUUGUAUAUUAGCCACUGAAUUUAUUAAGAUUUUACCACCCCAUCAUGUGUGCGUGUAUAAAUAUAUAGAAAAUAAUGACGUACAUAGAUGUCAUUCUACAUAUAACAUAACUGAGUAAUAAUGAUAUACACAAAUUUAAAACUUUUCCAAAUAUUUGAAGUAUAAUAUGCCAAAAGUUUAUUACGUGUUUUGUGAGGUUAUAUGAAAAGUAUAACUAUUUCUAAGCCAUACAAAUUUUUUUUUCUGAAUUAUACGUACUAACGUAUAGUAUAUCAACAGUAUCAGUACUCACUAGGAACAUGAAGAUGUCGAAAUUUGCUGUGGAAAUCAAGCGUCACAAUAAUCACUUUUGGGUCCACAUGGAAUUACUCCUUACUAUAGGGGCUAAAGCAAUACUAAGGAAACUUUUUGGGGGUUACAAAUGGCAAUGUCCCAUGUUAUGUCAGUCUUUACCAUAAAUAGGCAGAGCUUUUCCCACCCAACUACAAGACGACGCUACCAUUCUGCUUUACUUUUGUAUCAGUCUUUGGGGAGUGGGAAUCCAGUGGGCCGGUGUUACCUUUUCAGGAAUCUCUUGAUGCUAGGGAUGACAACGAGGAUUUUUAGGGGGGAUCCCUCCCCGUCCCCAACCCGUUGCCAAAAACUCCCCCUCCUCCCGUUUUCAUUCCCCCACCCUCUGCCUUGCCUCGCUUUUCCUGCGAAUGUCCACGGAUGAUAAUUUGGUUUUUUUUUUUCUAACAGCUUGUAUUCAAUAGAUCAAAACUAAAUUCAAAGAAUAAAAUAAAAUAUGAAACUGAAAAAAGUGAAAAAUUAAAAGUGAAACAAAAAAAGUGUUGAAAUAAAACACCAAGAAAAUUAAAAACUCAAUUGGAUUGUAUAGAUAACAUUUGGGAAUACUUAUAGAAUACGUAAUAUGUUUGUGCUAAAUAUCAAUUAGGAAUUUGGAUAGAAAUGAAAUAAAGAUUAUAUUUAGUUGUCAAAUAUUUUAAAUUUAUUAUUAUUAGAUUAUAUAAUAUAAUAUAUUUAUUUAUAUUAAUAAAUUGAAACGGAGAACGGGGCGGGAGUUGAUCCCCGUCCCUCACCCCAUUUAAAAUGGGAGAGAAAAAUUUUCUCUCGUUCACGCCCCAUUACUCCCCUGCAGGGGCAUUUGCCCUGUUGUCAUCCCUAAUGCUAACCUUAUAAAAGUGAUGAGGUUGGGGUUUGGGCCAUUGCCUUGCUAAAGGACGUCCAAACUCUCUUGGUCUGGGCCCUUGUUAUAAGGCCUGUAAAACAUGGUCGACUCCACAACAUUCGGAAUCUUGAAUUUUUUUGUUAACUUUGUCAUGGUUCAAUCGAAACUCUAAAUCUUAAAAAUUAAAAUGUAAAGUGGGAAGAUCUGAGAGUUAAACUAAUAAUUUCAUGGUCAACUAGCUAAUACUAUCACUAUCAACUUUUUUUUUCAUUUUUUUUAGCAGGAGAGAAGCGGGAAGGGGACAGAGAUUUGAAUCUAGAAUCUCGAUCCUUAGCCACUAGACCAAAAUCUCAUCGAUAACGUCACAACCAGUCUUUUUUUUUUUUUAUUACUACAUAAAACAAACAGAUGAGGGAAUGAUGUUUCAAAAGUCACAUGUCAGAAAAUUUUGAGAAUGCAAUCUAGUUCAGGAAUUUGAUUGUGAUUGGUAUUGGUUGCAAAAUAGGGGGCUUUUUUUUUGAGGGAUAAAAAAUUAGGGGGCAAAAUUUGGGCCAAUAAGAUGAGGAUUGGAGCCCAAAUCAUUAGAAGGGCCGAAGGUGAGUUAUAAUUUAUAUAGAUAGAGGAGGUCCUAUAGUUGGGCUUUGCAAAACCGAUUGACAGAGGAAAUAGCUACCAUCAUCGUCCUAAGACAAGAGGGGUGUUGCCAAACGUGAGAUUUGUCAUCGAAGAAGAAGCCAGGAUCGUGAAGAGAUCCAUUGAAAUCAACUCGAAGAUGAAGAACUCAAGUUAGAGGUUAACAUAGCAUAGAAUUUAAUACUAAGAUGAACAACAGAAAUCAGCAGCAAUUGCAAUCUCAAACUCGAAGAUGGGCUUUGGGAGGAGCGUUUGUGCUGCUACUACCGAAUUUGUUUCCCGGCCUCCUCACUCCGCUGGGCCGUGCUUAUCCCUCCCUCUUCUCUGUAAUGUCCCUGUCUUUUUCUUUCUUUUGUGGUCAUUUUUUAUUGCAUUUGGAAGCUUUUUUUUUUCCUUGAAUUUGAUCUCCUGAAGAGUUAGUUGUACGAUGGUUUUUUUUUUUCCUUUUAGUUUCUGGGAUUGUUGAAGUUUGGAUUUUGUUUGGCGGGGGUUUUUCCUUUCAUAAUUUGCUGAUAUAGUCGAGAUAAGUGCAUUUUUCUGUUGUUUGGACUAGUUGUAAUUUUUCGUUUGGAGAGUUUUCUUGGGGAUGCCAGGAAAUUGAGAAGACUGUAGUUUGGUGGUUUAUAUUAUGAUGAACUGAGUUUAUACAGCCCUGCUGUCUGGAUAAAUUUGAUUGCUACUUUUCCCUCUGAGCCUAAUGCAGAUUUUAUUUCGUUUAGCUAUAAAUCAUACGAUGAUUGGCUAUUUGACGAGCUUAAGAGCUUGGAAUGCUCAAACUUUUGUUGCAACUUUCUACUUGCAAAUCAGAGCAACUACUCUUUGCAUUGAUGUUUUAUGUCACACAGAGGUAUCUUUGCAAUUUUAGGAAUGGAAUGCUCCGAGACCUAUGCAUUUGGAAUUGAUGAAUGGGGCUUUACAACAACAAACAGUGAGUAGGUGCUAAGUUUAUAGCUUUGGUCCAGAAAUGAUCUUGGAACUUGGAAUUAGUAGUUCUUUUGAUCUGUUUUAUCGUUCAACUUUCAGUCUGGUGAACAAGAAUCAGAACUCUGGUCUCCUUGCCCGACCAAGGAUGGAAACGUUGUGCUGACUCACAUGCUAAAUCUUGUGAGUCCUUUCAGUUUGCUAAUUGUUCCUUGUACCUUGUUGAUGUUUCGCCAAUUUGGCUCAUAAACUUUCUUGGAGAAAUGUGGCCCAGUUUCUUUGUCUUCUGAUGGUCCAAUACAAAACUGUAUUUGCUUUUGUAGCUUUGCCCAAAAAGUCCCAGGGCUACAUUCAAGUGUUUCUUGAUGGAGGACUGAAUCAGCAGCGAAUGGGGGUAAGGUGGCUUCAGUUGUAGCUUCUGUUGUGUAUGAUAUCUUGAGUUAUCUGUGAAUUGCUUAAAAGAAUUCUAUAAUGAUAUCAAUAUGUAAUGUCUUUUAAUACUUACUUAAUUUCCCAUUUGUCCCUUUUGAAGAUUUGUGAUGCCGUAGCUGUUGCUAAAAUUUUAAAUGCUACACUUGUGCUUCCACACUUUGAAGUGAAUCCUGUUUGGCAAGAUUCAAGGUACUGUAUGCUCAAGAUUAUGCGUAUUGGUUCCUAAACAUAAACAGACACUUCUGACCUGAAAUCUCAUUUUCUGAAGUUCAUUUACAGAUUUUUGAUGCUGACCACUUUAUUGAUGCCCUGAAAAAUGAAGUCUCUGUAGUUAAAGAUCUGCCAAGUCAAUAUUCUUGGAGUACACGAGAGUAUUAUGCACGGCAUAAGAGCCACUAGAAUCAAAACAGCACCUAUGCAUGCACCUGCCACUUGGUAUCUGGAAAAUGUUUUGCCUGUAAUGCAGAGGUUUGUGGAAAUUAGAGCCCUGCAUGCUUGGUGUUAUUAGAGUGGUGGCCAAGACGUCACAUUUAAGGCUGGUUAAAUGCUUAUGCUUAUCUCUGUUGUGGAAUAUAUGUCACUACUGUUUCUUUUUUUCUUUUAACAAUUGCUGUACAAUCCUAUUACCAUUUAAUUCAAAACACUAGGUAUCUGCUAAAAAGAAUCGUUGUUUACAAGAUUGAUUGACUCAAAACCAUUUCAAAGGAAAGAACCAGUAUCCCAAUUCUUAGCAAGGCUUCUUUUUAAGGCAUCAUUUACUCAUGGAAAUCCUGGAUCAUUAAACUCUGUUCACCUGAUGUGGAUGCUGAAUUGAAGAUAAUAACUUAAAUUCUGUUCUCAGUUCUGAUGACUUCUGGGCUUCUAUUUCUUUGAAUUGACUUCAAUAAGGAAAACAUGAUGGUUGUUUGGGGAUUUUCCAAUAAUUUAGAUCAGGUGAAUCGAAAGCUGUUGAUGUUGCUGUUUUUGGUCCUUGUUAUAUGGUUCCAAUGAAAAUUAGUGCUUCCUCAUCCACGUAAUUUAUGUCAAUGUUAUAGGAGCAUAAAUAUUGUUUAUAGACUGAAUCAUAAAGAUCCCAAUCUUUCACUUCUAAGGUUUCACCUAUGAGGCGUGUUCUUUCUAUCAUCAUGUCAUUGGAUAUUGUUCUAGAAAAUAUCUACGCCAUCUGGAAGUAAAUUUGGCAAUCAUAGAUGGAUCUAGGGAGGGUGGGGCCCCACAGUUUCCUAGAAAAGAACAAUUUCUUUCUCUUUAGAAAUGGAAAAUUUUCAAAAUGUGUCCUAUAGAAGUUUAAGAUUUUCCUGUCAACAUAUAUUUUCUGCAUCCAGCUAUGCUGGUACUUGCUCUUCUUCACAACAUGUCCAGUUAGAGUAGCCUUCCUUGAUUAAAUUUUCCUACAAAAUUAUUGGUUUGAUUCGUCCCUUGAUUGCUUGUUUAGUUACGGGAUUGCAGCUAUUGCCCCAUUUUCUCACCGAUUGGCCUUCGACAACCUGCCUUCUGAGAUCCAGCAGCUUCGCUGUAAGGUUAAUUUUGAGGCUUUGGUUUUUGUUCCCCAUAUCCGGAUGUUAGCAGAGACCCUCAUCAAUCGCCUGCGGUAUGCACCUAGUGGUGACAGGGCAGUAGGCGUCUCUAACUGGCAGGAAAGAUUAGAUGAUAAGCGAAGAGCUGGAAAGUAUGUUGUGUUACACCUGCGGUUUGACAAAGUAUGAACCUUUCUGCUUUAAGCCUCUGAUAAAGAAAUGAGAGAAUGCAUUGCAUGUUCAUGUGCAUAUGGCGUUUUUGGGGGGGGGUUGGGGGAGAGGUGUAUAGCUAAGAUAAGCUCAGUCGUUGGUUUAGCAUUGUUGUGGCUUACCAACUAUAAGUAAAUAGAUUACAUUGUCUUGUGUUGUAAUAGUUCCACAUAUGAAAUCUGCUACUGAGAAGUUUUUCCAGAUAGUUCCAUGGUGCAAUUCUCCAUUGAUUACCUUCUCAGCAACUAUUAUCUAAAACACAUUUCGUUGAAGUUUGAAUGCCACAUGGCUAGGCUGGAUUUUAGAAUUGAGGUACAUUUGUGUCCUAUUGCUCAUCAUGUCGGUAUCUGUUGUGGACAGGAUAUGGCUGCUCACUCGGCUUGUGACUUUGGUGGGGGUAAAGCUGAGAAAUUGGCACUUGGAAAAUACCGGCAGGUGCUUUGGCAGGGAAGGGUACUCAAUUCUCAGUUCACUGAUGAAGAACUACGAAUUCAAGGGCGUUGCCCUCUGACUCCGGAAGAAAUUGGGCUUCUGCUGGCUGCUCUGGGCUCAAUAACAGUACCACUGUAUCUGGCAUCCCACAAGGUUGAUUGUGGAGAUUGGAACUUAAGUCAUUCUCCACUGUACUCCAAAAUGUGAGGCUUCUUGUUUCAAGAAACAAGUUUCUGAUGAUUCUUUUUUCUUGUGUCAUACAGGUUUAUGGUGGUGAAGCUAGGAUCUCAACUCUGAAAAAGCUGUUCCCUUAUAUGGAGGAUAAAAAAAGCCUUUCUUCUGCCGAGGAACGGGCUAAGGUGGACGGAAAAUCUUCUUUAUUGGCUGCUGUGGACUAUUAUGUGGGCAUGCAAAGUGACAUUUUUGUUUCUGCUUCACCAGGAAACAUGCAUAAUGCACUGGUAAGACUUGGUAAAUUAGGUUAAUUACUUGAAUCUGUGUUCUGUUAUGAUGAAUUGGAUUGCUGAUGCAACAAGAAUGAUGCUGAGUUGGAAUCUCUGGAAUCCUCAGGUAGGACACCGAACUUACAACAACUUGAAGACCAUUAGACCGAACAUGGUGCUCUUGGGCAAGCUCUUCCUAAAUAAAACCUUGGAAUGGUCAGAUUUCCAGCAAGCAGUUAAGAAUGGGCACAAGAAUAGACAAGGGCAACUCAGGUUAAGAAAAGAAAAGCAAUCCAUCUACACCUAUCCUAUUCCUGAUUGCAUGUGUCAAGCAUAGUUGAUUCUGAUCCAAACACAAAACCUUGUUUGGCCCUCUUUCUUCAUACUAUAAUCCAGGCCGGUAGUGGCUAAACAUUGAUAAUGGUAAGUGGAACUCUUUCAUCGCUGUCUAUGACUUGUAAGAGAAAGCAGAAGACUACUUGGACUUCACCCUUACCGCGAUGUGCUGUUUGCCUGCUGAUUUAAGAAGUGUGAGUACUCUUCUUGGCUCUGGAUUUUACCAGUGCUAAUAAGCCAAUUAGUCAAGUGCAUAUUCAGUUCUUCAUCGGUAGUUGCUGUCGGUGAUCUAAUAUUUUUGCCUUUCCCACCACGACAGUCUUGGCCUCCUCUGCGUGGAAUGGGACUGCCAUCCACAUGAAAAUUGAAGCUUUUCUUGGAGAAUGUAGAAGUUUUGGUUAUCAUUUCUGUUUGCGUAAUUUAUGCUUAAGUAAUCCAAUGAGGUGCAUGUAAAUCAUUACUAUGAUUCUAUGAAGUGCGUGUAUGACUAGGUCUGAAAUCAGAAGGUUUUAUUGUGAUCAAUUCUAUUAGUAGCAUAAUAAAAUAUGUGGUAUGUACCAUCGAAUUUCCAGCUCCGUUGCUUGAUUUGACACACUGACGUUAACUUGAAAGUUACAGCUCUCAAAACGACUUAAUCUAGUCAUUGACUCACUUGUGUCUGGAUUGUAAUUUUUUGGUUAAAAAUUAUAUAUUUACAUCACAAACAUAUUUUUGCACCAUAAGUGAAAGUAAUACAUAAUUACAUAUAUAUUUCAAAUAAUCUCUUUCAAAACAAAUCGGAGUAUUUUUAUAAUUUAAUAUUUUAUUAGGUAUUACCAUUACUACCAAUCUAUAUCCUCCUUUCCCCUUUUCUUCAUCUUCCCCGGCCCGGCCAUCCCCUCUCCCUCCUCUACCCCAAACCCCUCCCCCCGGCCCUUUGGUCGCGACCUUUCUGGUCAUGGGCAGAGGGGAGGGUGGUUUGGGAGGGGCAGGACGGAGGGAAGGAGAGGAAGAGGGAGAGAGGGAGAAAGGAGGCGGAUGAGCGAUGGAGGAAGGGGUGGUGGCAAGUAAAAGAGAUAGAGGUGGUAAUUAUUUUUAUUUAUUUAUUUAUAUUUUUAUUAGUCUAUUUGAGAUUUGUAUAGAUUAGAUGCUUUUACAAUUAUAUUAUGCAACAUUAUAUUUGAAAAUUUUUUUUUUAAAAAAGCUCAAUCCUCAUAGAUCCACAAUUUUAACUACUUUUUUUCACAUCAUAAAAUAUGCGGCUAAAAGUAUUGUUCCAAAUAAUCUCAUAUCCAAACAUAUCAAAUUUGUUAUCCAAUUUACUUGAUUUUGUACUGCCGUAUGGAUUGGCUAUCCUGAUUAGAGGAUUCCGCUUGCUGAUGGAAAAAGUUAUCUUAUGCAAUCAAGAGUAAAACCACUUUUAUCUCUUGGGGCUUUCAAUACAAACGGUCUUGCAAAUUCUGACCCACAAUAGAUUCCUUCUGAUAUAAGUUCAAAGAAAAAAAAAAACUCUUAACAUACUCGCAUAAACUUCUAAAUUCAAUGAAUUUUGAAUUUCUGAGUUCAAUACAUUCCCAUUUACAGGUGUUAUGAAAUUCAUAACAGUGCAAAACGCAGCUCCAAAAAACACGCUUUAUGCAUUCUGCACUUUGUUAAAAGAUAUGCCAGUACUAGACACAGAUCACUUUUCUUUUUCCUGCAAAUCACGCGGUCCUCCAUUUGGAAUUUCGCCAAUUUCAUCCUGCUUAUCUUUGCCUACAGUAGCCAACCCAUUUCCAUUCCAGCAGGCAGCUACGUCCUUGACCUCUGAUUGAGUUGGGGCUGGCCAUAUCUUCCUCAAUUGGAAGUGUCAUUUUCGAGCCUUCUAAAGCAACGCCAAGAACAAUAUUAUCUUCCAAUGUAGUCUUUGAGCUGACGCUGAUGGUAUAUGCCUUUCAACAUCUGGCAUUGCCUGUGAAGUGCUAGAAGCUACAGCUUUGCCAUCACGGCCAAAUUCUUGGACAGAUGGACGCUGUAUUCAGGUACCUUUCCUCCAGUAUUCAGACUUGUUGCAACAGCUGAAGCCUCUUCAGAACAGCUCUAUCAGCUACCUGCUUCACGGAAUUUCUUUGGCCUGGAUCAAUGGAACCCAUAUGUGGCAAGGCAUCAGAGUUGAAGCUCUCAACUGUUGCCUUUUGAUUGUUGUCAGAUAUCAGUUCUGUGGAGCCCUCAUCAUCGACUUUGUCAUCAUCAACAAUUGAUGUUGGUCCAACUUUAGCAUCCACCUUAGUCUCAGAUGUUGAGGUUGCUUCAACCUUCUCAUCUUUUUCUUCAUUAGGUUGUUCUGUACGACCUGUUGUCCUGAUUUUAUUGUCAUUAUUAACUUUAUAAGAAGGAUCAACCAGCAGGAAAGGACGAUUAGAUGCCGCUCUAGUACGACGGAAAAUGGUCUCAGAAAAUGGAAUGGUUUCCCAUCAGUUUCACCAUAUACUUUCUGCACUGUACGUAUGGGGGUGGCAAGCCGAGCUCGAUGGUGACUGAUCACUCUAAGGAGAUCUUGCAAGAUAGACUCCUAUAUUGAGGGAAUUACACUGAUUAAAAGGCUAUAUUUUCGAGCCAUUGUACAUGCUAUAAAAUGUAUUGAGACAAUAAGAUAAAUGACAAGAUGAACUCUGAGUGCAUUAUUAGGUAAACAACAACUUGUUGAUUAAAAAAAAAAUCUAGAAACUCGAGGAGAGGUACUCAAGACUUGAACCGGUACGUCACGGUUACCUACCAGUGAGCUAGGUCUUAGGGAAUGCAGACCUCUCCUGAAUGUUUAACACUAAAAGCAUGAAACUAGUAAAUGCAGCUCAGAACUACUCGCAGAAGCUGCAGCUUCCAGCAGACCUUAAUGACGACAAGGCAGCAACAAAGGCAACACAGAAGAUAAAUAGAAUCCAUACUACUAAAAAACCUAAUUAGCAUCUGAAAUCCCAUUUGCAUGUACCAUCUAGCUAAUCUGAUUUACUAUUAAGUGUUGCUUACCUUACACAUAGGUACUCUUCAAAACGCGAGGUCUUCACGAAGCAAGAGACCAUAAUCUGUUAUAUGAUACAGGCCAACAAAAAGUUAUUGCACUCUUAAAUAGCUACAAGCCAUAAAGCUAGAUGAAAAACAAUCAAGGCAAAAGAAUGACAAAUUUUAUUCUGGCAACCAAAGCAGAGGCAAGAGUCAGCAAACAGCUUCAUAUUGGCCUAUUCAGCUAAUUUGGUGAAUAUAAUCAGUAUUUAGUAGCUAAUAACAACUGAAGAUUAGAUGCCCCAGUGUCCUUCUGCAUAGAUCAACGCAUUUUUGUAUUUGAAUGUAACCUUCAGCUAUGUAAAGCUCAUUUCAUACAAGAACAAACAAAACUCUUCCACGAAUCAUCUCUUCUCAUCAGAUAAUGUAGUAGGACUACUUCACAUAAAAACGAGCCAAUGAUAACAGUUAUGAAAUGAAAAACUCACCAUGAGUGCCUGAUUCUCUGUAUCUAUAUAAUCUAGAAAUACUCGUCUAUGCAACUUCUGCUGCUCUAUUUGAGGAUUUUUAGCCAAAACCUUGCGCAUAUCAGACACAAUAUUCUGUUAAAACAAAAGGUAUAAGUGGCGUGAAAAUAGGAACAAUGCCAACAUCAUAGCAUUUAUAAGAAGGAAUAUCAAAUCUUACAUUGAUCUUAUUGACAUCCAAAUGACUUAUGGCAGGCUGGAUUUAAUUCGCCAAUGAGUCUUCUGGCUAAGAUUCCUUACCACAUUCAUUGUAAACUUGUGACUUGGAAUGUGAACUGCUUCACGGUCAUCACCUCUUAUAACUGUUGGUGACCACCAUCCCACAUGCUGAACAACAAAUUAAAUACAUUUUAGAUUCUCCAGACAGUAUUUCAACACUAAGUCACAUGUUCAUACAGUAUUUAAUGAUCCAGUUAACUCUGCAAGGAGUUUAAGAUUUAUAUGCAGAACUUUGUCACCACAAAUAUCAUAAAGAUUUUAGGACAAUGCAGACAAACCUCAACUGUACCAGAAACUUCAUAGCCAUCAAUCUUUGUCUGAAUCCAAUCGUUGAGAACAAAUGGCCGUGUUGCAUGGAUCAUUACACUUGAAAGAAAAUUUGUGAGAAUCUGAAGAAAAUGGAAGAGAACUAUUUAGCCUUAGAAGGAAAGGGAAGCUAAGACAGAUGCGGGGAAAGGUAUUUACAGUAAUUACUUGCACUAAUUGCUACAAAAGAUACAGGGAGGAAGGAGAAUGAUUUACCUCACGACCAGCAAGGGUUAAUAAUACUGUCCCAAGACCCCCAGCAGUUAGCCACUUCUGGGUUGAAAAACCAAGCAAUUCCAUGAAUAAUGAAACAGCAGCAACCCAUACUGCAGUAUAUACAGCUUUUCCAGCAAACUCAAAGCCCAUCUAAAGGUGCAAAGCAUCACGAAGUUAGAUUAUUUACAAUACCAUAGGCAAACUGACAGAUCCAUUAGACCAAAACCAACCAAAUGAACAAAAUGCUAGACCUAAUUGACAGUCUAUCUAAACACAUGGAUGGAAUUCUCACGAAUUAGGAUGCAUGUUAUCCGUAAGAACCUCUAAACAGUAUCACGAAUACGUGACAGCUGUAAACUAAACACCUACUGUAGGUAGUGUUUGUAGUGCAAAACACGAAAUCUUUAGUUAACUCAGAACCAAAAGGCAAUACCAUAAUAAGCAACAGAGAAUGUGCAUGCAUGACAAGGCAGAAAGACUAGCAUCUUAAUUACCCAUUAGUCAUUAAUGACUGGCAACAUAAUGGCCUCUUGCAUCAAUUAAUGGGCCUUUUCUACAAGUGGUUUUAGGUUCACAUUAAUUUCUAGUAUGCCAGAACAUUUGAACGGUUGCACAUGUAAUGAGAGAAUGUAAAUCUGUUGCAUAGUCUAAAAGUAAUCAAAACGUACUGUUCUUGCAUCACUAGAUUCUUUUGUUUCGACAAAGAACUUCUGAGUCUGAUGAAUCAAGCUGUCCAAAAAAAAAAAACCAAGAUUAGAUAUCAUACUCUAGAAUCUAUACUAACUCCAACAGAAAGGGCAUGACAAGAGAAGCAACAGACUGCAGACAAGGUCCAAUUACAGCAAGCACAUUUACCUGCUCACAUCCAUGCGUACAAGUAUGUUUGUAUCUAAGGGGCACAAAGAAAGGGGAGGGAGGGAGGGAGGGUGGGGGGAGGAGAGAGUUGCACAGCAGCAUAAAGUUGUACAAACAAUUAAAUGGAAAGCAGAGACUCGUCCUAAGAAGAUUGUUGCCACAGCAAAACAACUUAUAUUUUCAAGGAGGGGCAAACAACAUACAGUUACAAGAUCAUAUCUUAUGAUAUAAAGAGGGGGAGGGGGAAGGGAGAGAGAGAGAGAGAGCUAUGCCUUUAACAUCAGCAAAACAACCAACUCCAGUAGAAAUAAAACAAAUUAAACAACCAAUAAUGCGAACUUUGAGUUUUCUAAGAGAAAUCAAUCGUAGAAUGACCCUAUCCUUUUACUUUAACAGAAAAGAAAACAAAGAUAGUAAUAGAUCAAGUUGUUUGUUGCCUAGCACUAGAGAGUUUUAAGCAAUAAGUUUACCUUGAUAAACAGUAGGCAAAGGCAAGAAUAGUAGACAGUGAUCGUACAAAAUACAAAAGCCGUCGCUUGACAGCCUGGCUAGCUACUGAAGUUAGAAUCACAGGAUCAAGUGCUCUGCAGAAGUUCCAUCAAAAGGAAAAAUAAUCAGAUCGUCUAAAGACAAAACAGGUUAUAACAAACAUUCCAAUUUUGUCCCACUAGUACCUGCAAAUGAGCAUUGCUCCAGUCCAAAACAGCAAAGGUUGAAGAUAGGAAGUCACAAGAUUAUGUAUCCCGCUCUUUUUCCAACUACCAUCAUUCUUCUGCAUGAAAAAAUCAUGAGGGACAUCAGCAAAGUAUCAGCUUAAACACCUCAUGAAAGAAAAGAAAAACAUUGGGGUAAUGAUAAAGAAUGUACACUUAGGAAAAGAAUCCUCCCGAAACGCAUGAGCGGCCUAAGCCCCAAGCAGCCAAGGCAAUUAUACCAAUGGCUGGAACCAACUGAAGCACAGGAGGACUUCCAUGCAAAGUACCAUGUGACCUGCUAAAAAUGGUUAUGAGUUUAUCCAAUGUGCCGUCAUCUCAUGGUGCAAAAAAAAAACUGUAUUUGCAAUAAAUAAAGACAAGCUUAUGGUCCAUCCUACCAUUUCAUGACAACCAACGAGGACAACAAGAGGGAAAGGGGACCCUUAUAAGAAUCCCACAGAAAGCCUUGAAAGCAUUAAAUAAAACAUGUACCUGGAAAUUAUUUUUGCAGCUGCUUUCAGAACAGGAAUCUCAUUUCCUCCACCGGGUUUUAAUAGGGAUCGGCACGUAAAACCAUUAAAUUUAGCAUUAUUAGGGCAUAGGGGGCCAUGUACAUUUUUCAAAACGCAGAGACUCCAAGCAUCCUGUCGCUACAUGAUUGACAAAAUUAGUGUCCACACAUAAGACAACUUCUCUAAAAUAAAUAAAUAAAUAAAUAUAUCCCUCACAGAUUAGAGAAGUGCUGGUCAAGGACUAGGUAAAUUUUUAGAAUCCACGAAAUUUGACAAGUUCCCAUUAAAUUUAACCAAAUAUAUCGAAUUUCGCUCAUUUCAUCAUCCACUUGGAAAGUUUCAACUCCCAAACAAAACAUGAAUCCAAAAAGAUAGCAAAUAACAAGCUUAAGUAGAUAAUGGAUAUGCUAAAAAACAAACUUCUUCUUUGGUAUCAACAACAUUGAGAUAUUUGGGUUGGUAUGCUAUUCACGAAUUCCAAUCAGUUGCUUAGCAUGAAAGCAUAAAAUUCCAGCAGCAUAAGAGGAGUAAAUGGAAAGCAUAUGCGCAUUACAUACCACUGAAUAAGAUGAAAGAGACGAGCUAAACGAGUGUAAGCGGGUCUUCUCCAUCAUGCCCUGGACACGAACAAAUGAAAAUUAGAAUAACUUACUUGAGAAAAAGUUAGCAAAGAGACUGAAGGGUGCAGAUCAUGUACCGAAUGUAGUAAACCUCCAUGCACCUUAAACUGGCCAUAGUGGCCACAGAUUCGCAUUUCACAGGGCGAAAGCAAGGAAGUUGCAGCUGCCAUUGUCUCAACAUAUAAAAAGAAACGGCACAAUACCGAGUGCACAUCAACUGGAACUCCCCCUGGAACCCACCAUUUUCAUAAGAAAUAGAUACACAACCAAAAAAUCAUGUGAAGUCAAACAGGCAGGCAGACAUAAUUAAAUAACAUUUAUCCCAGAAUAAUGAUCAAGAAAAAAAUAAAGAUUCCAUUUUUAGCAACCCAAACAAUUAAUAUGCACAACUCUACAAUAGUAAAAUUUUCUUUUCUUUUUUUUUUAACUCUAUAAUAACAGUUCAUCAAAGACAAAAACUAAAUUCUCUAAUUAUAGAAAACACUUUCGCUGGACAACGAUUUAGAGCAAAUCCAUUUUUGUUAUAAAGUUACACAUAAAUUAACAAAUAAAAGUAUCCAAGUGCAUAACAUGAAGAAUUUCCCUCGUCCUUAAGCUUUGACAAUCUCUCUCUCUCUCUCUCUCUCUCUUCUUUUUUUUUUGGGGAGGGGGUGGUGGGGUUCCAAGGGAAUAGAAAAAGGUUGCAUUAUUUACUUAUUUAGCAGUAUUUUCUUAGCUAUCCUCUGCUACAUUUAGCUGCCAAAUCAAACAAAAUAACAGAAAAGGUCAUCAAAAUAAUCUCCAUCCUUCGGUGCUUAUUAUAUUCCCAGUUCCUCGUCCUCCAAAUUUCAGCUCAACCUUAACUGUACAGCCACAAUCCGAACAAAAUUUAUCACAAUUAAAGAACCCAAGAUUCAAAAUGCAGAGCAUCUUAACUAAUUAACCCUGCAUAUAUCAACAAGGACGACGAAAUUUUAAAUAAAAUAAAAUAAAAAAAGAAAAAGGAAAAGGAAAACUAAUGGCUUCUACCUUAGUUUACCGCAAAAUGCAAACAGCAAGAAAAGCGGACCAAAAUAAAUAAAUGAAUAAAACUUUGUUCGGAACUGAGAAGGAAGGAAAGAGGAAAAACUUGCGCCGGCCGGCUGCUACUGUUCCGUGGUCAAAUGGAACUACUACUAUUAUUACACGGGGCCUUUUGUAGAGGGGGGAUUGUUCAUUAUUGUUAUGGAUAAAUAGGGACUGCUGACGUGGGGGACUGAGAGCUAUGUUUUGUUGCCGCGUACGGCUUUGUCAGUCUAUUGCCUGUUGCUUUGCUUUUGCAACUAACCCACGUUUCCCACAAGUUGUUUUGCCUUUUUUUUUUUUGGGUAAAGUACAUAAAACCCCCCUGUGGUUAAGGAAAUUGACACGAAAUCUCCUUAUUGUUUAGAAACUCCCACUUAACCCCCCUAUGCUUUGGACUUAUUUGGCUUUUACCUGCUAACCGACUGAGGAGCCGGUAAUAAUAUGAAAUACCAAAAAUACCCUCAUAUAUAAUAUGUGAAAAGUUACGGAUGCAAUGAGUCAAUUUGAGAAAUUGCAUCUUGAAUAGGCAUCCCUCCAUCAUGGGCUGAGCAUCGUCCCUUCCUUUCCUAGCGGCAGGAUCUCUUUGUUCUUCGCAUUCGCUGGAGUAGCAUUCCGCAUCCCAAAACAUUCUUCGCUAGCAAGCGUUGUCCACAAAAGCAGCACCAACUCCAAAGUCGGCAUUCCUUCUUCCUGUUCCUGAGGAAAAACCCAUCUUCAAUGCACACCGUCUGCUUCUCGCCUGAUUCUCUAGAUCGUUCCCGGGACCAGCAACAACGAACGAAAGCCCAAAGAAAAUCCUUACCAGUGUAAACAGCCCUAAUUCAGGGCGCGUAGAUCAAUGCCAAAGUAAGCUAAAGCUUCGUCUUUUCCGUUCUGGGUACAGAAUCUCAGGGAUUGGCUCAGAAGCCGCAGGCGCUUUUUCUGAUUGGUUUGUUGCUUUGCUUGCUCCCUUCUCUUGCUUACACAUUCUGUAGCUUUUUUUGUUUUUCAAGGCUUUGAUUGCCUGUUUGAUUAGGCCUAGAUCUGGCUGAAACCUUUUCAAAAGGAGUCGAAUCAGUCUGGCGACUUCCUCAAUUGCUAACCAACUAAACCCAGAAGAGAUGCCAUUGUGGAUGGAAAGGCUAACUACGCAGCUAUGCGACAGAAAGAUGGGCGAAGUGGAUCAAAAAGGUAGAUUUGUGGCCCUUGAGAACUGCCUUUGGGGAUUGAGCAAGCCAGGGAUUAAGAGCGUAUGUUAGGUAGUUCAGAUUUGUAGCAAGUAGUGCCCAUGAAUCUGAGUUCGGAGUGAGCUGGAGAUGCUCCCUUUUCUCUAUGAAUUGCGAGUCACUCAAGAAGCAGUGCCCAACCUAGGACUACUAUGAACCAUUGCUUGCUUCCCGCCUAGCAAUCCUGGUAAUUGGAACGAAGCUAUAGCCCUUUCUUUCAUUCUCUUUCGAAAUUAGGUAUGAAAGGCUCUAUUGCUUUCCCAUUGAAGAAGGGUUAGGCUGACCUGGAAUCCAAUUGAAUAGAGGUUGGGUCUUCGAUUUGCAUCUCUGUCAAAAUUUUUCAUUUGCAGAUCUACAACUAUGGUGGGUGCAAGCUUGGAAGAGACAUAGAGGACAAAAUUGGAAUGAAAUGAGUUUCUGCUAGACACAAGUUACCAUUAAGUCGCGUAAAUAUCACUCGCUAGCUCCCCAGCCGGUUAGCAGGUAAAAUCCAAACAAGUCCAAAGCACAGGGGGGUUAAGUGGGAGUUUCUAAACAAUGAGGAGGUUUCGUGUCAAUUUCCUUAACCACAGGGGGUUUUAUGUACUUUACCCUUUUUUUUUUAUUGGUACGAAAUAUAGUACUAGUAAAUACUAAAUACUACCAAAAAGCGUUUAAAAAUGGAUUCACAGAAAUAAUUUUUUUUUUUUAAAAAAAUGACCAAUUCAUACAAGUUCAAAAUCUUUUCAUUUUUCAACACUUGACUAUAUGCACUAAAAUUAUUUUAAAUACAUGUCACGUGUGUAAAAUUUAGAGUUAAAUUUCAAAAUUAAAAUGACAUGAUAUGCAUCCAAAUUCGUAUAUUAUCAAUGUCGAUAAAAUCUAUCUAACCAAAAAAAAAAGAGCAAAGAGUAUCAUUUUUCUAGAUGUUGGCGGUCAAUUGCAAAAGGAUACAUAUUUCUUGAGGUUGGGUGCCAUAAAAUAAAUUCCAAGUGGUGUAAUUGGAUGAUCACAUAUUCCAAUUCGAUCUCAAAUUCAAGCAUGGAUAAUGCUAUUUGAAUUCAAGCGAGUAACGAUACUUGAACUCGAACUCGAACUCGACUCAUGCGAGUAGUAUACAAACUUAAACUCCCCUCAAAUUAACUUGAAAAUCCCGUCAAGUCUUGUCGAGUUCGAACCACCCAAAUCCAAGCUUGAAAUCGAGCUCAAAGCCUGAUUUUUAUAUUCAAUUUCCAUUCCUAAUUUUCCAUUCAACUCAGCUCAAGACGUGCAUUGAGGAUGGUCAUUUCGGCUCGAGUACCUCCCGAAGUGCCACCUCGGCAAGACCUGUUGGUUUGGAACCCACCUCAUUACCACUCCGGCUAAGAUCAUUAGCCGAAGUGAUGCUUGAUUAUUUGAUAACUGCAGAAAGGUACGAUGUGACUCCUGACACAUCUGACACCUGGAAAGGCUGCUCUGAUACGCCGUCUGAACCUGACAGAUGUCCCCUCACAUCUCAUAAAGAUUGGUCAAGUCUACCGGAUGCACUGACCAUCUCAGAUCUUUAGGGACUCGUGCCGACAGUCCCUCUCUCCUAUCCUUCCUCUAUAAAUUCUCAACAUUUCUAUUGAGAAAGGGAUGAUGACCAAUUCUCUGGUAACAUACUCCUCCCUUCAUUAUACUACCUCCUUACAACCGAACUAACUUGAGCUUCGGAGUUAUAUUAGGGGAUUCAGCCCCUCUUAUUACCCAAGCAGGUGACCACGUCCAAGAGAGCUGCCCAAGAUAAAAAUACUUCUCCAGUUUGGGUGACUUACUCCAGCGGGACGGAAAUCACCUCUUCAAUUGGCGCCGUCUGUGGGAACGCAAAGACAUCAGAGUAUGAAGCCUACGCGUUCUAAGAGCAGAAAAGCUCUCACUAUUGGGGCUGAGCAAAGUAAUGCAGCCCAACAGAAGGUAUAUCUGAAGGGCAGGGGUCUCCAAGGACCCAGCCCGCAAACGAAGAAGCCAUCUCUCGUAUGGCCGAGUUUGUUACUGACAAUCCCAACAUCUUCGAGGAAUUAGGGAGAUACCUGAAGAGGCAAGGCAAGCAAAAAGCCGAAUCCUCUAAGAGGAAGUCAGAUGGGUCUCCUGAAGACUCGUCCGAAAAGGAGUCUGAUGGAAGGCGCCUAAGCCGAAGUGCCUCGAAACGGGCAUUCUCCAAGGCCACCUCUAAGGUAGCCUCAAUGACCAAGGCAUUCUCCCGGGGACUCUUGGGCGACGACCUGAGGAGGAACCUCGGCCCCUGGGAUACCCGGGGUGAAUUACAUGAGGGCCCACCUUUCACCGACGAUAUCAAUGAGGAGAGGCUCCCUCCAACUUCAAGCUUCCCUCAAUUCCAUCCUAUGAUGGUCGGGUGAUCUGGAGGACCAUAUCCACGCCUUCAUCUCGGCCUUUCGCUUAUACUGCAUCCCUGACCCCGUCAUAUGCCGAGCCUUCCCAGUAUUCCUCCAGGGGACAGCUCGAAAAUGGUUCUGGGGGUUAGAACCUAGGAGCAUCUCAACCCUGGGAUGACUGGUAGAAAGAUUUCUCCACAGGUUCAUUCCAUCCCGACCUACGACCCGAACCUCGGCUACCUGCUGAACAUGCAGCAAAACCCGGGUGAGUCACUUCGGUCGUAUGUUCAGAGGUUCCAUGAAGAGAGCGUGCAGAUACCUGAUCCCAAUGAGCAGGUCACCAUCGCCGCUUUCACCCAUGGGCUCGUUUCCGGGGUGUUCAACACAGGAAUCCACAAAAAAUAUCCCCGCACUCUCCAUGAACUAUGGUUUAAAGGUCGAGAAGGGCAUACAGGCCGAGAGCUCAACCGCAUGAAAAAGAAGUCCAAGCUGCUCGCCCGAGGGCUGACGCCCGAAGAGGGAAGGAGCCUAGCCGAAGUGAAGCGGGGACAGGAAGCGGCUUCCAAAGUCCCGGCUGAGAUCGCAGGAGUAUGUUCGACAGGAUCUCAAAAGGAAAGUCACCCAUUCCUGAAUCCGAACUAACUCCUUGAACACUAGCCGGUCUCGGGUGCUAUCCGUAAUGGAACAAAAUAACCUUGGAAAGGCACCCCCCAAGAUGCAGGGCAGCAGGGACAAGAGGAACUCGACCCUCUAUUACUUAUAUCACGAGAUAUAGGACAUGAAACCGAGGACUGUAACGACCUCAAGAGAGAGAUCGAGAACCUCAUUAGACAAGGCCACCUCAAGCAGUUUAUCCGCCGAAGUGGAGGUCAUCCGCGAUGAGAAUCGACGUGAUAAGCGAGGUGAUCAACCCAAGAUGAGAGGCGGGUAUCGAGAACUAGUUGCCGACCUCCUGAGAAUCCUAGGGAGUCGAAGAGGCCACCCGGAGACGGAUCCUCAGGUCAAGGAUUAGGAUAUGACCAAAUAUUGCCGGAGUCAUCAACACCAUUGCUGGAUGUCCGACGGGAGGAGAUAGUCAAAACUCCCGGAAGAGGACCUACAGACAAGCCAACCCGGAUCAGGCUGAGUCGAGUUCUCGCCUCUCUGAGGUGAUCACUUACGGGCCCAGUGACCCCGUCCCAGCUGCCUCCAGCAGUCAUGAAGCAUUGGUGAUUGAAGUCCUCACCAAUAACUACAUCGUGAAAAAGGUCUACAUUUACCCGGGGAGUUCAGUUGACGUCAUGUACCUUCGUACUUUUGAUAGCCUUAAACUGGCCAUGGUGAGAACCCUCUUGUCGGGUUCGGGGGACACAUUGUGCAUCUCGAAGGGAUGGUGACUUUGACAGUGACUGUAGGGCGUCACCUCCGCUGCAGAACCAUCCCCGUCAACUUCGUGUGGUCAAGGCUGACUCCCCAUACAACUUACUCCUAGGCCGACCUACACUUAAUGCUUUACGGGCAGUAUACUCCACCUAUCACCUAAGCUUUAAGUUUCCUACUCCAGAGGGGGUAGCCGAGGUCAGCAGCGACGUCUGCGCUGCCCGGGAGUGUUACCGCCACUCUACAAGCAGCCUCCCCGUCCACCUCCGGAGCAAGGCCCGAGAGGAGGUCAAAUAUCCUCUCUAUAGAUAGCAUCGAUCCUCAGCGAGCUGAGAAGAUCCCGAGGCUGGAGACUGGGGAUGAGGUGGAAGAAUUCCCUCUGGACCCCACGAAGCCUGAUCAAACGAUUCGCGUCGGUACCCGAUUGCCCAGUCCUAUCAAAAGAGGUAUGGUGAGCCUUCUCAGAGAAUACCGGGACGUCUUUGCUUGGGCCGCAGAGGAGGUUCAAGGGGUCCCGCAUCACCUCAUGAUACAUGAGUUGAACGUCGACCCCCAAAUCCGCCCGGUCAAGCAGAAAGAAGGCACCUCGGCCCUGAGCGUAGCCGAGCUGUUGGCGAAGAGGUGGACAAGCUCCUCCCUGCAAAGAUCAUCCGGGAGGUCCAAUAUCCUACUUGGUUAUCCAACCCGGUUAUGGUAAAGAAGGACACGGGGGCUUGGAGAAUGUGCGUCGACUUUACCGAUCUCAACAAAGCUUGUCCCAAGGACUGCUACCCAUUGCCCAAGAUUGAUACCCUGGUGGAUUCAGCAAUGGCUAUGAAGUCCUCUGCUUCUUUGAUGCCUUCAAGGGGUAUCACCAGAUCGGAUGAGACCGGAAGACCAGGAGAAGACCGCCUUCUACACUGACCGACGGCACGUAUUGUUACACCACUAUGCCUUUCGGAUUGAAGAACGCCGGGGCCACAUACCAACGCUUGGUUAACCAAGCCUUUAAGUCUCAGAUCGGCCGGAUGGUUGAGGCCUAUGUAGAUGAUAUCCUCCUCAAAAGUCGGACAACCUCCACAUUCCUUGCCGACCUGAAGGAAGUCCUGGAAGUCUUUCGGAAGACGCGAAUAAUGCUAAACCCUAAGAAGUGUGUCCUGGGGGUCACUUCGGGGAAGUUUUUGGGUUACCUCGUCUCCAGGCGAGGUAUUGAAGCAAAUCCAGACAAGGUGAAAGCAAUUCAAGAGAUGUCUUCACCUCGGUGCGUCCGCGAUGUCCAAAGGUUGACGGGGCGGUUGGCCGCCCUGAAUCGAUUCCUAUCGCAUUCAGCCUCCAAGGCAUUGCCGUUUUUUAAAGUCCUUAAAAAGGCCAACAACUUCUCCUGGACCGAAGAGUGUCAACAGGCGUUUGAGCAGCUAAAGGAGUACCUCAACCACCUCCCAACACUCACUUCACCUCGCCCAGGGGACAAGUUAAUCUUGUACCUAUCUGCUGCCGCUGAAGCUGUAAGUGCCGUACUAAUAAGGGAGGAAGGUGUCCAAACACCUGUUUACUAUGUCAGCCGAGUCCUCCGAGGUCCGGAGACCAGGUACCUCAGGCGGAGAAACUUGUGCUAGCCUUAAUUCAUGCAGCUCAUAGGCUUAAGCCCUACUUUUUGGCCCAUCACGUCUGCCUGAGGACAGACCAACCACUUCGGCAGGUCCUAUCGCGACCGGAGGCCUCUGGACGCCUCACCAAGUGGGCCAUCGAGCUGGGAGAGUACGAUUUAUCUUAUGAGCCUCGCACGGCCAUUAAAGCCCAGGCUCUCGCGGAUUUUCUUGCCGAACUUACUUUUGAGGAAGCGAAUGAGAUCAUCCCGGUUAUUACCCAGGCUGUCACCUCGUCCACCGCCGAGCCUCAACAAUGGACCUUGCAUGUAGAUGGCUCAUCCAAUAGUGAGGGUAGUGGAGCUGGUUUGCUCCUCGAAGAUCCCCAAGGAGAAAUUUGCUCGUAUGCCUUGAGGUUUGAUUUUGCUGCUUCCAACAAUGAGGCCGAAUACGAAGCAGUCAUCGCCGGCCUGCAGUUAGCUCGUAAGCUCGGGCCGCGCAUAUUAUGGUCUAUAGCGAUUCUCAACUCGUUGUAUGCCAAUUACUAGGCGAAUACGAGGCCAGGGAAGAGGUGAUGCAUCGAUACCUCUCCAAGGUCCUCCAGCUAGUGGCACACUUCCAGUCUUUUGAAAUCCAGAGGAUACCACGGUCACAGAACAGGAGAGCUGAUGCCCUCUCCCGGCUCGCUUCUACCUCUUUUUCUGACCUGAACAAAACGGUCAUUGUAGAAGUUUUAGCCGCACCGGGGUACGAAGGGGAAGAGGUGUAUCCCAUCUACCCUGGGGAUACCUGGAUGGGACCGUUAGUUCGAUUCCUCAGCCGAGGUGAACUCCCCGAAGACCGAGCUGAGUCACGCAAACUUCAGCGUAAAGCAUCUCGGUACGCCCUUCAACAGGGCCUCUUGUACAAGAUGUCCUACCUCGGCCCAUGGCUACGAUGUAUCACCCCAGAAGAAGGCGACAGAAUUCUUCAGGACAUUCACGAGGGACUCUGUGGUGCCCACGUCGGUUUCAGGAUGCUCGUGAAAAAGGCUUUGCUGCUUGGAUACUUUUGGCCCACCAUGAGGGUAGAUGCCCAGGUCAUGGUCCUUUGCUGCCCUUCUUGUCAGCACCAUGCCCUGAGCACCAUGCCCCUGAGCACCACCGACCAACCAAUCUUAUGAUUCCUAUCACCUCGCCGUGGCCCUUCGAGCAGUGGGGAACCGACAUAAUCGGCCCAUUUCCAAGGGCUCCAGGUGGUUAUACUUACGUGGUGGUAGCAGUGGACUACUUCACCAAAUGGGUUGAAGCGGAGCCCCUGAGAAGCAUCACCGGAAUGGCCGUUCAAAAAUUUUUCUAGAAAAAUGUGGUUUGUUGUUUCGGCUUGCCCCGGGUGGUCAUCUCGGAUAAUGGCAGACAGUUCGCGGACAAUCCUUUCAAGACGUGGUGUGAACACUUGGGAAUUAAACAGCACUUCACCUCGGUGGACACCCUCAGGCAAAUGGACAAGCUGAAAACUUCAACCGAACUCUCCUCCAUGGCCUCAAGACCAGGCUUUACCGGGCUGGAUCGUCAUGGAUGGAAGAGCUCCCAAGCGUGCUGUGGUCCUACCGAACCACGCGAGCUCAGCGACUCAAGAAACACCGUUCUCUCUAACUUAUGGAUCCGAGGCUGUCGUUCCAGCCGAAUUCAUCACCCCAGCAGCGAAUGGCCGCGUACGCUGCCGAUGUCAAUGAAGAGGAGCGACGGGUUGAUCUCGACCUUGCCGAGGAGAAGCGCGAUAUGGCUGCGGCCAAAGUUGCUAUUUAUAAAAAUAUCCUAGCUGGUUAUUACAAUGCCCGGGUCAAACACCUAAGGUUCAGUCCAGGAGACUUGGUACUCCGGAAGAAUUCGGUUAGCCGAGUUGAACCCCAGGGAAAACUUAACCCCAAGUGGGAGGGACCCUACCGUGUUAUUGAAUCCAGCCAAAAUGGAUAUUGUAAACUGGCUUACCGAGAUGGUUCGCGUGUGCCCCGAACUUGUCAUGCUGAGAACCUUAAGUUGUAUUACCCUUGAAGGGUACGUGUUCUUAAAUUCCACUUCUUUAAGUUAUUUCUCACUCGUUCUUAUUUCAUUACAAGUGACAAAUAAGGGGACAAAGCAGUAGUUAAAAGGAAAAAACUGAACUCAAUCGAAAAGGAGAGAAAAUAUGCAAAACCCAACUUUAUUGAAGCAUGAAAAGCAAAAGGUCGGGGCCAUAAUUACAAAAGUGAAAUGCCGAUGACCUCGGCCAUCUAUUACAAAACAUGAGUGCUUCUAAGCACCUCCUGCCCUGGGGUCCUGUCCCCCAGGGUCUCGCCGCCUGCCUCGGCAUCCUGCUGUCCGGCAUUCUGCUGUUCUUCCUCUCCUCCACCAGCCUGGUCCCCUUCGGCACUGUCACCAUCCACACUCGAACUCCUGGAGCCACUUGUUGAAUUCAGCUCGGACCUCAGCCAGGUCCUUUCCAGUCCGGAUGCCCUCACCCACGCGGUCGCAUAAUUCCUUAGCAUCCUCAUUGUAGUGUGAAGCACUCUGGAAGGACUCCAGCUGCUCAGGGAGAAGAAAGGGUGCCGCAUCAUUAAUGGCCGACGUAUACCCGAACAUGAAGCUCGGCCGAGUGAGUUCACCGAGGUCGCGAAUGAAAGACUCCGACUUCCGGAAUGCUUCCACAGCGGUGGCCCCGGCUGUGUCUAUGGCCACUUUGGAUGAUUGCUCUUCCUGAGCUCUCUUCUCCCUCUCCUCAUCAAGAGCAGUUAUGAGGGAGUUGUUCGAGACCUCAGUCUUCUUCUUCGCCGCCUCAGCCUUGUCACGUGCCAGCUCGGCGGCCUUUAGUUUCCCUUCCAGAUCGGCGAUCUUCUUCUGGAGCUCGGAAGGUGAUUCAUAAGUCUCUACGAAAUCGCCGAAGCGUUGGUACAUCUCGGCAAGAAACGCCGUGGUGGAAGCCCAGGAGACCGAGGCACCCUGCAUCAGUUCGGCCGGAUUGAGUUUUCUAGUGUAAGUGUUGUCCUGUGGCAGGACUGAAUUCACCAGGAGCUCGUGCGCGACCUGGGGAUUCUUGCAGCGGUCAUUGACAUUGACCGACCACUCCGGGCAAAAUUGUGCUCCGGAGUGCCUCUUGUCCUCCCGGCUGCUAGAGAGGGCACGUGGUGGAGGUUCAAUAAUGAGUUCCCCGAGAUAGCGUCACCCUGGACAACGGUCGCACCUCGACCCCGGCCCCGAGGUUGAGAGGCUAUGGUUACUCCAUGGGAUGGAACUCCCACUGGAAUGGACGCUUUGGAUCUUCCCGGCGUGCCCGAGGUAUGCGACCCCUCGCCUAUAAUCACCACGACAGGUUCGCGAGUGCCUGCCGCGGCAGUGGUCUUCUUAGCCGGCCUGGAAGAGGACUCACCGGCGUCCUUGCGCUUUUUUGCUGGCCUCUUUGCCACCUCGACCUCUCCCGAGGUAAUCAGGUCGGAAACCUUCAUUACUGCAAAGUACGAAAUGAAGUUAGUUAGAAUUCAAGGAAAACAAACAAGAAAGUGAGAAGUGGAAAAGUACGAGGUAUGUGAAGCCUAGUGAAGACGAGGACGGGAAAGUCCGAGCUGAUCGAGGCUCGGCUGAGCUCGCCCUUCACGAGCACUCUUUCAGGGAAGUCCCAAUAGUUAAUCUUCAGGCCCGACCCCGUCAAUUUUUGGAAGUUGCGUUCUUCCAAUUUGCCCGGGGAGGUUUUUUUGACCGAAGUGGGAGGUCUCCACCAGAAUCCCCUGGGGAAGUCCUCAGCCGGGACGAAGAAAAAGUUCCUCUUCCACUCCUUUAUUGAGCUCGGGGCAUCAUAUACCAAUCUUGGAACCUUGUUCCCGCAGUAGAACCACCCCUUCUCGCUCCCACUGUUCUUAAGUGAAUAACAACGGCGGAAGAGGUUGACAUUCGGCUCUAUCUCUUGAUGUCGGCAGAGUAGCUGGAAGCCGACGAGGAUGCGAAUUGCAUUUGGAGUGAGCUGAGUAAUCCUCACCCCCCAAUACCUCAGGCAGUGCCUAAGAAACCUCGUAGUUGGCACCAUGAGUCCGGCCUCCAGCUGUUCUAUGUAGAUGGCUACCCUACCCUUUGGAGGCAGGGCGGCGGAUUGAUGUGGGCGCGGAAGGUAGAUACUGUAAUCCCUCCUCCACGGAUACUUGCGGACCACAUCGGCUAUGGAGCUUGGUCCACCGCACUGAUGAAGGCCGGCAUCUGACCAUAGUUUAGCGUGGCCACGUGUGGAGGAGUGGAGGGCUCUUGUACACCCACGUCCAUUGGAACUUCAUUCCCGAGGUGAUCAUUGUACAAGACCUCGGGCUCGACCUCAAUCUCUUCGGCCUGCUCUUCCAAAGACUCAGCUCGGCGGAUGCCUCCGCAUCUCCUCCCCGGGCUCGAUCAGACGCUUCCCCACCUCCUUCCUCGGCGUUAGAGGCCGUUCUCUCCUCGGAAGGGUCGGGCUCUCUGCCUCGGUGAAGUCAGGCCUCACCGUCUCUUUGUGUGUGCGAGCUGUUCUAGCCAUUAAUACAGAAAGAAGAAGUGAACUUACUUAGAAGAUGCGAAGUGAAAAAGUUGCUGAAGAAGAUGUAGGUUGGAAAGAUUGCCGAAGUGAAAAAGCAAAUGGACAGAGCUCUGAGAUGAUUUCAAAUUUUGGUAAAGAAUGGAACGGUGAAAAGAAACCCCUAUUUAUAGGCAACAAGGGGGGAACCGAAGAGAUGCGAUCUUUGGAUUCCCUAAAGCUCUCUCUCUCCCCUCAUUAAUGAAGGUGCUGUUCACCUGACAAUCGAUCGUAUUGAUUCGACGUUAAAGCUGCCAGCCCCCGUUUCACCUUCCCCUAGUCACAUCUACACAGUCGUGACGUGUCCUUGCAUUGUUCCGUGUUCUACACGCGCGUCAGCUUCGGGAAACGACGACCUCGGGAGGCCCCGACCUCGCUCUUCUUGAAGCUUGGGGGCUUAGUGAGGAUGGUCAUUUCGGCUCGAGUGCCUCCCGAAGUGCCACCUCGGCAAGACUUGUUGGUUUGGAACCCACCUCAUUACCACUCCGGCUAAGAUCAUUAGCCGAAGUGAUGCUUGAUUAUUUGAUAACUGCAGAAAGGUACGAUGUGACUCCUGACACAUCUGACACCUGGGAAGGCUGCUCUGAUACGCCGCCUGAACCUGACAGAUGUCCCCUCACAUCUCAUAAAGAUCGUCAAGUCUACCGAUGCACUGACCAUCUCAGAUCUUUAGGGACUCGCCGACAGUCCCUCUCUCCUAUCCUUCCUCUAUAAAUUCUCAACAUUUCUAUUGAGAAAGGGAUGAUGACCAAUUCUCUGGUAACAUACUCCUCCCUUCAAUUAUACUACCUCCUUACAACCGAACUAACUUGAGCUUCGGAGUUAUAUCAGGGGAUUCAGCCCCUCUUAUUACCCAAGCAGGUGACCACGUCCAAGAGAGCUGCCCAAGAUAAAAAUACUUCUCCAGUUUGGGUGACUUACUCCAGCGGGACAGAAAUCACCUCUUCAUGCAUCAAUAGCAACAACUCAGAAAUCAGCCCCAUCACCUCCAACAUUUACGUACGUUUUCCUCAACAUCAAUAUCAACUAAAGAAAUAACCCAAAAAAGAAAGAAAAGCUCACAAAAUCACCCAAAGUACUGAAAAUCGAGUUCUGCAGUUAGGGCGCUCCGGUCGUGAGAUUCUCACGGCUCUAGAAUAACUUGAAGUUCCACUACUACUUACUGUAUACUAGCUAUAUAUUUUUUGUUACACUACUCAUUAGUCACAACAACUGAUGCUGCCCUAAACGUUGAAUCUGGCGGGAUCCAUGAGACUGAAUCCCGAUGUAUUUUGUUAAGGCACGAAUUUAGCAAGUUUCAUUCCGGCUUUUAUCAUUUUGCUAGGACCCAUGAAUAAAGUCCGAUCGAGGCACGCUUCGCUCGUGGUUUCGGGGCUUGAGUGAUGAUAUUUUAUUCUGGCAAAUACGGAUGACACGAUUGGCCUGCAAUUUUGUUUCUAACGACUAAGGUUCAUUCUAGCAAAACCGCAUCAUGAAUCACUAACUUGGAAGGUGCAACUGGGCCGCCACUGUUGUAACCUCAAACUUCAAAAUCUCGGUCCGCCUAAUCAAUUUGAGCACUUGAUGAAACAAACCACCCACCCACCCUCGCUCACCAGUCCAACAAAAAUUAGGGGUAGCAAUUGGAUAAAAAAAGAGUCGGCGGAUCGGAUUGAGACCCGAAUAAAACUAAUAACCUGCUGAUUCGAACACGAUCCACCAACUCUAAACGGGUCAGAUAUCUGACCCGAAUCUAAAAAUUUCGGAUUGGCGGGUCAAUCCAAAUGCCUUGAAAUAUAAUUUCAAUUUUCUAAUUUAGCACUGUGGUUUCUAAUAGAACCAAUUUCGCAUAAGGCUAAUUACAUAAUCAAUUAAUAAAAAUCUCGAUAAAACAAUCCAAAACCAUAUCUGAAAUAAAUUAAAACAUUGUAAAAAUAUUUUAUCCCAAAUCAGAUCUAAAAUAAAUUAAAAUACUAUAAAAAUAGAAAAUAAUGUAAUAUAUCAUUUGUCCAAACAUAGUAAUUUCAAAUUCACACAAGUUAAACAAAUUCAUUUAGGAUUAAGUUGUUAAUGCCUUUGGGGAAAAAAAGAAUAACUUAGUUUAGUUAAAUAAAAUAUUUUUAUAAUUUUUAAAUUAUUUUUAAUUCAUAAGCGGAUUAUCAGGUCAACCCGUGGGUGACAUAAAUUCGACCUUUUUUUUUCGGGUUCAUCAGGUUCGAUCCGAUUUUGACCCGAACCCGCGAAAUCUCAACCAAAAUUCAUUAAUUUCGUGUUAAAUUCGUGUCGUGUCGAAAAAUUACCACCCCUGACAAAAACCAAGAAAGCCAUUCCACAUAACAACUAUUUUUUGAACUGAACAUUUUAGUAUAAAAGCAUAAGGGUGAAAAAAAAACUUCCUGUAGUAAACCUAAUGUACAAAAAAGUCCCCUGUGGUUUUAAAACGUACAAUAUAACACCUCAUGCUUUGAACUAAAUUGUAAAUGUGACGGAAUUCGUUAAAUUUAACGGAAAUAGACGAAAUGACCAAAAUGCCGUGAUGUAAUUAAGCAAAAGACAGCUCAAAAAAUCAUUUAUUUUAUUCAUUAGAUAGAGAGAAUUGAGGAUUAAGGGGUAGAAUAGGUAUAUUGGUUACAAAUUAAGUAUAAAUUUUUUUUUGUUCCAAUAAGUCAUUUCCGUUAAAUUUAACGGAUUCCGUUAUCUUUACAAUUUAGUUCAAAGUAUGAAGUGUCAUGUUGUACGUUUUGAAACCAUGGAGGAUUUUUCUGUAUAUUAGAUUUACCACAGGGAAUUUUUUUUUAUUUUUUACCCGUAUACAUAACGAAUUGUCUUUUCAACUAAUUAGUGCACCACCCAAUUUUUUGACUAUAAAUGCUCAAAAAUAGAUCCAUAGUCAUCUGACUAAUAUCUUUAUCCACGUUAAAUUUUAUUUUCUUUUCAAAUACAGGCAAAUUUGAGUAGUAUUGGGAAUACUUUAUUUUUAUUAAUUUUUCUGGCAAAGAGGAGUGAAAUUUAAUAAAUGAAAAGAGAGAAGAGAAAUUGAAAUUUAAGACCCCUAAAUCCUCAGACCUCAUCAAGUUAAGAUUGUUUUCUUAGUAGUCAAAGAAAUCGAAUCAACAACUUUACAUGUUUCUUAAUCGACAUUAAAACAAAAACUGCAUUAGAUUAUUGUCACACUUGUAUCUAUACUAUUUGAGGCCACAUAAAUAUAAUAUAGUCAUCUUUUCUUUUGUUUUUUUUUUGGGGCCAACACAGUAUGUGAAAUAUCAAGAUUCAAAAGAAUCCAUUCUUAUGCAUUCAAAAGAAUCAUUUUUUUUUUUUUGCUUUUUGUUAUUAAAUUCGGAAGUAAAUACCACAGGAACAUUACUCUCAUCUCAGUCGACUUGAGAAGUAAAUUUUAUUAUGAUAAUAAGAUAAUCUUUAAGAGUAUCGGAUAAUUAACAUACUGAGAAAAAUCGUUGGUUGGGAUGUGAGUUUAAAUGAUUUACUAGUAAUUGUUUGGUUAUGAUGACAUACUGAUAUAAUGAUAGUUGUGAGUUGUAACGUUUAAAAACUUCAAGAGCACCUGCGGUCACUUGCAUCGCACGUGACCUUCGCCUCAUUUGAAUUUCGGACUCCAGCGCCUUUUCUUCAAUUCACUUUUUUAAAGUUUGGAGUUCGCCCUUUCCUUUUGUUUUCUUCUCUGUCCACCGUCCCUCCCAAUUCCCCGUUCAAAAUCAAUCCAACCCUCAACGGUCACCCCUCCCAUCCUCCUCCGUCCCAACCCCUCAUUCCCACCUCUUUCUCCCCUCAGGUACAGUUCAAACUAUUCAACUACAUUUUUCACUCGUCACUAUACAUUUUGGUUGAUUUAUAGAAUAAUGUGGUUAAUGAGAUCUCGAAGGUCAAGAUUAAAAUGAUGGCCUUAGAGUUGGAUUUUUGAUUGUGUGUGCAGGCUCAAUUGAAUCUAGCUAGGGUUUCUGUUGCUUACUUCUUUUCUUCUUUCCUGUCGUAGUGAUUCAAAAUUUCAAAUUGCAUUGAGUGGAGAUGGACAGUUCUGAAGUUAAAGACACAUCUCAGUGUGUGAGGGUUGCAGUCAAUGUUCGGCCGCUUGUCACUCAUGAGCUUGUUGCUGGAUGCACUGAUUGCAUCACCGUUGUCCCUGGAGAACCACAGGUACUUGGGAUGAGUAUUCUUUUGUUUAAUACUUGGAAACUAUAUAAUUAUUACUAUUAUUUUUUAAAAAACAUGUGCUCUUUUGAUUGAGAAUUUUUUUUAAUUGUGUGUUUUUGGUCGCGAAUUUUUAGUGGAGUAUUGAGAUUUAGGUGCAAAUUGGGAGUUAUUGAGGUGUUUGUAUGCUCAAACAGGUUCAAAUUGGAUCACAUGCCUUCACAUUUGAUUAUGUGUUUGGGAGUGCUGGGUUAUCAUCUUCACGGAUAUUUGAUGAGUGUGUGGCUCCAUUAGUUGAUGCACUCUUCCACGGCUACAAUGGUACUGUUCUUGCGUAUGGACAGGUAUGGAACCUGUUUCUGAUAUUAAAUUAUUUUCUGCAACUUAAAGUCCUUUUUUUGUGUUUCCUUACCUUGUUCAAAAUUUGUUUCAUGUGAAAGACUGGCUCUGGAAAAACAUACACUAUGGGAACUAACUAUAAUGGAGAAGACCAUAAAGGAGGAGUUAUUCCUAAAGUAAUGGAAACCAUAUUUUCACGAGUAGAGGCUUUCAAAGCCUCUACAGAGUUUCUUAUAAGAGUAUCUUUUAUUGAGGUAUGGUAAUUUGGUUUUUCGGUGUAUUAUUACUAAAGUCUCAUAGUUCAUGUAUUGACCGCCUAAUUUGGUAUCAUGUUAUUUAUUUUAUGAUUUGCAGAUUUUUAAGGAAGAGGUAUUUGAUUUACUAGAUCCAAACCCCCUGCUAUUGCAAAAGGUGAUGGGGCAUCUAUAGCAAAACCUGGCCCAGCAAGAGCUCCCAUUCAAAUUAGAGAAACUGUCAAUGGUGGGAUCACACUUGCCGGUGUUACAGAGGCAGAGGUUAGGACAAAAGAAGAGAUGGCAUCAUACCUCUUGCGUGGUUCAGUAUCUCGUGCUACGGGGAGCACUAACAUGAAUAGUCAAUCAAGGUGUGUGCAUUGUUUUAGUGUUAUUGAUAAAAUCUACCUGUAUGUCUGUAACUUCUUAGAUUUUUGUGCAUUGUCUAUGAUGUUGACUAACGUAGUUAAUUUUAUAUGGAGGUGCUGAUUUAUGUCUUCAGUUACAUGAUGAUUCUUGUGUGCUCUUUACUGUGUGAGUCAUUCUUUUUUGUAAAGAGAGCAGAUACCAAAAUUACUCAGAAUUAUGGAUCCUCUAAAUCAUGUUAUCUUGUGCUACUCUCUCUCUCUCUAUCACUUCUCUGCUUAAAUUACUUUUUUCAAUCUCCUUCAAAAGCGUUAGGGCAUAAACCUGUAUAUAAUGUGGAUUAACUCUGCAAAACUAGCAUUAGUUAAACAUUUAUGCUUGAGGGAUAGAGAUUUUGUAGUUUCAGGUUUUGCUUGAAAGCAAAAAUUGCUUGUGAAGAUGCCAAUAAUGAGCUGGUCAAUCAACAUCAUCCCCUUCUUUUCUCUUCUGCCUCCCCUUUUUUCUGUUGUAAUGUUUCUGUGUCAAGAAUUUACUGAUAUUUCUCUGGAUGUCCCUGGGUUCAGAAUAUAUAUGACAAUUGGAGUUACUUAAACAAAGGUGUUAAUGGUGUCUUCAAGUUACUACAGUCAUAUGGCGCUUACAGUAGCUCUAACUCUUAAAAUGAAACUCAAUGUAUGCUAGUUGGGUGCUGCCUUUGAUUGAAGGAUACGUAGUGUAAGAGUUAGUUUCUAAUGACAAUUAGCUUGUUGCAGCUGAGAAAUUAAAUCAGAUCAUCACAAUCUUCUGAAAAAAUGUAAUAACUUCUCGUUUCUUCAUUGUAGCCUGCACUUGUUUUAGGAGAAGUAAUUUUUCUAUUGUUUUUUACCUGUUUAAUUUCUUCUUUAUCACAGUAAAUGUAUCGGUCUAGCUGACAGAGUUGUGUUAACAAGAAGUCUCAUUAAUCUUGGAGCAUGUUUCCAAUCUUAAUACGAAUUGUCAGUGCUCUCUUAUUAGCACCCUAGUGAAAUCUGUAGAGAGCACUCUAGAUAGGUUGCAUACCUUGAAGAAACCAGCAGAUUUAGCUGUUUUCUUGGCCUUUCUUUUAACUUACUCUUUCAGUCAUUACAAUGAGAAUUUUUUAAUGUUAGUGUUAUAUGAUUUUCAGUCGUUCGCAUGCAAUUUUCACAAUAUCAAUGGAACAAAAAAGAACAAGCAGUUGCUCUAGUGGAGACAUACAUGAUGAAUUUAGUGACGAAAUCUUGGGUGCUAAGCUUCACUUGGUGGACCUAGCAGGUUCUGAAAGAGCAAAGCGAACCGGAGCAGAUGGGAUGCGUUUGAAAGAAGGUGGAACUAUCCUUGAUAACUGAAAUAUAUACUCUGGCUACUGGACCUGCUUGAUGAUGCUUUUUUUCUUUAUUGUUUUUGCUACUUCUCAUUUAUUUGGCAUUCUUUUUAAUUGAAAAUAUGGAUUAGGCAUUCAUAUCAACAAAGGGUUGCUGGCUCUUGGCAAUGUGAUUAGUGCUUUGGGUGAUGACAAGAAACGGAAAGAAGGUGGUCAUGUUCCUUAUCGAGAUAGCAAAUUAACUCGGCUGUUGCAGGCAAGAGAUGUUUCUUUCUUUGCUUCCUUAUUCAUCCUUCCCAAGUUUCUAAACAACCAUAUAUUAUAAUAUGGUGUUCAUAUGUUAGUAUUUCUUACAUUUCCGUCUACUUUUCAACCUUAGUCAUAAUCUUUCUUACGAACAAAAUUUUUUCUAUUGCUUUAUAUGGCAUUGUGUUAGGACCAUGCAGUUAACAAGUAAAAGUACAUAUCAGAAUGAACUCUACGCGUAUUGAAUGCAAACAUAAAAAUCAGCUUAUUUCAAAGUAGUAAUCUGUUCUUGAAUCUUCAUUCUCAUUUUCCUUUUUCCUUUCCAAUCAGAAGACAUGAUCUUUCUGGUUUUUGUUCUCUGUAAGUUGUUUAUAUUGUUUGAACUUUUCUAGAGUGGUGGCUCCUAUUGAUGCUCAGUUCUAUUGACAAUUUUCUCUCAUAAGGAUUGCAUUGCAUGCCUCCAUAAAUACCAUGUGUCCUAACUAAUCCUGAUUGUGCUUUCAUUUUUUUAACAUGAUUCACUAUAUUUGUGGUUGUCCUGUCUGGCCAGCUUGAUUUUCCUUGCGUGUCCUUGAUGUUAUAUGUAAUUUAAGCAAAUCUACCAUUGCUAACCUUGGGAAUAUUCUGUUUCAGGAUUCUCUUGGAGGGAACAGCAAAACAGUAAUGAUUGGUAAACUUUUAAUUUCGUUUGCCAAGAUGCUUUAUAUCUGUCCUCAGGAACAUGAUAUGCUGUUUUAUUAUAUGAUUUUGCUGGGCAUUUCAUCAUUUCUUUAAUUAAUGUCACUUAACUCUUCUAUCUUUUGCAUUUAUGUGGUAGCUUGCAUCAGUCCAGCAGAUACAAAUGCAGAGGAGACACUAAACACUCUGAAGUAUGCAAAUCGUGCUCGUAAUAUUCAAAAUAAAGCAAUUGUAAGUUUAAUAUUGUUAAGAAAAAUCAUAUUUUUUUUAAUUCAAUCAGUAUACUCACCUACUUUUAAUUUCUAGAUCAACCGUGAUCCAUGGCAACUCAGAUGCAAAGAAUGAAAAAUCAAUUGAACAGUUGCAAGCUGAGCUUCUUUUCUUUCGUGGAGACUGCACUGUUCCUUUUGAGGAACUUCAGGUUUCAUUUUUCCUCAUAAGUGUCAGUCUGUCAGUUUCUUAGUUGCUGUGAUUGGGAGGAUGAUUAAAAUGAUUAUCAUUGUGUUGGGUUGUGCAUAUAGAUUUGAGGUGGUUACUUCUUAGCUAAUACAAGAGGCUGUAUUAUCCUUUUAAUUAAUAACCUCUGUCCAUAAGUGUGUCUCGGUUAGAAAUUGACUUGUUCCUUCUGCCCUACAGAUUCUUAAGCAUAAAAUUUCUUUGCUUGAAGCAAGCAAUGCACAACUACAGCAGGAGCUUCAAGAACGUCGAAUUACUUGUGAUCAUUUGACACAACGAGCCCUAGAUGCUCAGGUAGUUUUAUUUGUGUAAUUGCCAAUGUUAAAAUGAUCUAUUUACGGCAUCCAAGUUAGAUGCAUUUUUGAAGCCGCUUACAUCAAAAUAAUGUAUUAGGUGGAGAGGAUAGGCUUGUCAUGAAGAUUGAAUCAGCUCGAAGUCAAAAAUCGUGGAAUGAAAUAGAUUCUGAUUCUAAUCAGGUAGAUAGGAUUCCUGAUCAAUUUGCCAUGUAGUUUGGGAAACUUGGCUAAUAUAAAUUUUCAAAUUUCCUACAGGAUUUUGAUUUGUUAAAAGGAUAUGUAUCCAAGAUACAAGAAUUGGAAGGAGAAUUAUUGCGGCUCCAAAGUGCUAACCAUUUAAGGCAGAAUGAUUUUGUUGACUACGUUAGUUUGGAUGAUAGCGGGCUUCAUUCAAAAGAUAACUGUUUUGCAGAGUCCGAAACAAAAGCUGAUAAUUUAAGUGGUGAGCUACCAUAAGCUGUUCCAUGAUAAUUAUGUACACUCUUGUUUCUGUGUUUGUUCAGGUGGCUGCUAUGCGGUGGAUGUUUCUUGUUGUGGCUUUCUAGUAUUUUAUGUUGCGCAUUAUCAUUGACUCUGCUUGACAAGAGGAUUAUGUUGCAACAACUUGUACCUGAAUGGUCGUGAUUUAUGUUUGGAAUUUGACCAAGUUGAUUUCAAGUUGCUGGUAGAAUAAUGUUCUUUCAUAUUUGUUAGGUGUGUUUGAGGAUGAGCAGAAAGAGCGAGAACAUUCUUCUCUUCAAGAAAAAUUGGACAUGGAGCUCAAAGAAUUGGACAAAAGACUUGAACAGAAGGAGGUAUGUGGUAUCUCUUCAAGUAAUUAUAUUGGUUGGCUUAAAUCUAGAAGCAAUUGUUACCUUGUAACUUCUGAUUUCACCUUGACCUAUUAUAUCUGUUUAUAGGCUGAGAUGAAGCGGUUUGCAAAUCCUGAUACCUCAACUCUUAAGCAACAUUAUGAUAAAAAAAUUCAGGAGUUAGAACUCGAAAAGAGAUCCUGCAGGUAUGUCUUUGAGUAUGAUGAUUUUAGUUGAUAAUUUCUUUGUUUCUGAGCUAAUUUUCCAUUGCAGAAAGAGAUCGAGGAACUUAGACAUAAUCUUGCAAAUAUAUCAUCUACUACUGAUGAUAGUGCUCAGAAGCUGAAGGAAGAUUAUCUUCAAAAGUUAAAUGUCCUUGAAGCUCAGGUAUUCCUUCAACUGUUUUUUCCCCCACCAAACUUUAUGUCUGGAUAAUAAUUUCGGCCUCUGCAGGUUGUCGAGUUGAAGAAGAAGCAAGAUGCUCAAGCCCAGCUUUUGAGACAAAAGCAAAAGAGCGAUGAGGCUGCAAAACGACUACAGGAUGAGAUACAGAGGAUAAAAACACAGAAGGUACAGGGUCUUGGUAUUUGAUACUUGUUUAGAUAUAGAGAAUCCCUUGCUUCUUCUAAUGGCAUUCUAUUGUCUAAAAGGUUCAAUUGCAACAAAAGAUAAAGCAAGAAUCUGAGCAAUUCAGGUUAUGGAAAGCAUCACGUGAAAAAGAGGUCCUUCAGGUACUACAGUUUUUUCACUAUUCCAUUUGGCUUCUUCUUUUACUACAGAUUUUUACCAGAAGAUGGAACACCAAACUUAAAUAGUGAAAUUAUGAGUAUUAGGCUCUAGUGGUGCCCUGGUGCUAUCUCAUUGACUCGUGUUACUUUUGUAUGGAUAGCAAGUUGUUAAGUGUGGUAAUGUUGCUCAUAUUUUGCAUAAGCUCUGAAAUAAUGGUAAAUGGGAAUCUUUGAGCCACAAGACAACAUGUACUUUUUUGAUUGAAAGAUAAGAGUCUGCGAGGGACAAGAAGGCAUUCAAGAUCCAAGUAGUAGAAUUGCAAGUACAUAAACAAGUCAUUUUAAUGGUACUGAAGUAACAGGCACUAACAAAAGUUUCUUUAUACUGGCAAGAUUUUUGUCCUAUUUAACUACAGACUCUAGAUGGAAUCUUACAUUGGAUGAACCUUAAAGGUAGCAAGUAGGUUCUAUUAACGAUUUAUCGAGAACCUGUUUCCACUAAGGGAGUUCUCAGCUUUAGCUUGCUUCCUGGAUGUGUAGUUUAUGUCAUGUUUUUAGAUGUUGGCAGACAGAGUACAAUGUGGAAGUAACUACACGUGAUGUCAGCCUUUGUAAAUAAACAAUUGAUUCAAAAAUCAACAAACAUGUAUUAACAUUUUUAGUUAGUGCGUUGCUUUUCUAAAUUGGAAUCAUGCUCCAUUUCCAGAAUGUAAGCCAGUACUUCCUGCUAUUGAGAGUUAAGACUUCGGUAUUAGCCUGUAGCAAAUAUAUUUUUUGUCGGUCCCACCACCCCCAGCCCACCUCCCUUUUAGUUUUCUCUGUUAAGGCAAUUAGUGCUUUGCAAUGAAGGAAGCAUUAUAAUUUCCUUAUUCGUAUACAAUGUGCUCCUGUAGUAUGAACUAAUUUUCUAAGUCUAUUCCAAACAUAUAUGCCAUGGUUCCUUACUUCGACAGGGUACAAAUAUCUAAAUUUGAUAUUUUUAGAUACUUUUUCAGACCUAUUGCCGAUACUAAGUAGCAGUCAAAAAUUGGUAUCCAUAGUUUGCUUCGUCUCUUCUCUCCCAUCAGUUGCUUCGUCUCUUCUCUCCCAGCAGGAAAACAGGCAUCAUCACCUUUUUUUUUUUUUUUUUUUUUUUUUCUUUCUUCUUCUCUGUUUCGCUUUCGUCAUCGUUUGGUUGUGAUGACUGUUGACCGAGCCCUUAUUCUCUUGACUAGAUGAAAGGUCGAGAAUGGAAUGGUGCUUAACAGCCUCUUCCUAAACUAUAGCCAACAAGAUUCAAGAAAACUGUAACUCCUUCAUGAGCAUAGUAGCAUUGUAAUAGCAUUGUACGACGUGUGAAUAUUUUUCCAUGCUGCUCCUCUUUUGCUGUACUUAUUCGAGUUACUUUUUAGUCCCUAAAGUGUUAGGAAAAAUGGUAGUAUAGUUUGCAACAUUUGGGGCCAAUUAACAUCUUGAGACCCGCAAUCACUUUAUCUUAGUCUCUUUUGAUGAAAAUUUGAAGAACGUUUUCUUAUUAAACUUUUUUUAAGAGAAUCAAUAGUGAUUGUCUACUUAUGCCUUUCGACAUUUUGAACUCGUGAUCUAUCGGUUAUAGAUGAAACGUCUUAUCACCUAGACUGCGCUUCAUUGUCAAAUUUGAAGAAAGCUUUGAAAACAAAAAGAAAAAAAAAAGAUUAAGGAUUUUAACAAAGCAGAGGUGGAAAAAAAAAAAAACUGCACGCGACAUUACUAGCUUCAACACUUUUCUCUUCCCAUAUCAAAAAAGGCAUUCAUUGUUACUAUUCAGUGGGACAUUGGCUCAGCAAGAGAAUUUGGCACCUCCUGCAGCACAUUUUCAUGCAGCCACAUAAAAACAAAGCAUACCAGCUGAAUGAUCAGCGUAGACCAAUCACAUUCUCUGAACGAUUCAGAUAUUCAAGAUACACAACCAAAAAAAAAGGUGGGGAAGGGUAUAAUUUCAUAUUCCUUUCACAAAAAAAAAGAAAGAAGCAUACCGUCCAAAUUAUCAGUAGCUCAAUCACAUCCUCUGGACAUGUUCAAAAGAAAAAGGUACAGCUUCACAUGCUUCUUCCAGCAUAUGCGUCGUGCUCUGAUAAGCAUCUUUGCAAUGUACACAGUUUUAGGUUACAACACAAAUAUAAGAGUUCCACAUUGACAAGUUUACGAGUCAGCCUGCAGAAAAAUGUCACGUUGAGUUUUAGUUUCUCAAUUAACAAUAAGACCAUCAAUACAGAUGUCUUGUUGCAGUUGCUGACUAGUUUACAAGGUGAAAUUUCUCUAGCCACUCUGCAAAAUCCCCAAAAUUUAGGCAUAAGCUACAUAACUUCCACCACCCCUUUGUCAGUAAGAAAUGCCGAAUAGACAAUUUCAGCUAUAUUGCUGAAUAAAGCACCAUGACAAUGGACCAAAAUGUCGUUAUUUUAUCCUCCCAGUUGCAAAACCCGCGCAUAGUUAUUAAAGCAGAAGUCUGUUCAGACCCCUGCACCAGUUCUCAUGAAUGGAGAUGCAGCAGGAGGGAUCAAACCAAGAGCUCGCAUUAUUUUCAGUCUGCGUAAACUCGGAUCUCUAGAUUUUUCUACCAAGGAUGGCAACUGCUAGUAGCAUAAUAAAAAGCUAAGUCAACAAAUGCUGCCCAGGAGAUGAAGGAUGCAGAAUGCUCAAAAGAAAGCAAAGAUAAAAUUGACCCACAACUUCAUGUUUAGUUGCUUUUGCAUUCUUCUGCUUCCCCGCUUCCAUCUGUGUUUGAUGAAUCUUAAAAGAAUGUGCAUGAUUCAACAAGAUACAAACUAUUUGAUGAGAAAAAGAAAAACAAUGAGUUAAAAAAUAACUAGAGACAACAAGGACUAGCACACGCUCACAGAACUCAGCCUGGGUGUCUUUAGGGUUGCAUUCUGUGUCUGAUCUUUACUUCUUGAUGGUUCGGCUCUCACUGAAAGUGAAUCAUGAUUUUUUUCCCUGGCCUCUGCAUUCUGAACGAAAAUAAUCCUAAAACUAUAAAUUUUGUCUCAUGAAGCACAAAAACAAGAUCCAGUACGAAAGUGCAAGUAUGAAUUGUAAUCUGCUCACAGAAUUUGGGCUCUUUGGUUUAAGUUUUUCAUGACUACCACUUUCCGUUUCCUCCUCCUCCUUUCCUUGCUCAGACUUUGAAGUCGUCUUGCCCUUUUUAACUGAAUUCUGUGCAGCAGUACCAUUUGAAGGCUUCUUUUUUGAGGUUUUUACCUGAUAUAAUGUUCAAUUAAAGGAAACCAAAAACCCCAGAACAAAAAUGCAAGCCUUGCAAAGAGGAAAUUAAGGUAUGUAAGACCAGAAAAGAUGUUUACUCACAGAUACUGAAGUGGCUUUUGGUUUCUUGGGCUUUAUAUUAGGCUUUGGUUUUCUGCUUUCUGCACUCUUACUUUUUGAUAGUAAUUGUACUAGGGAGAUAUUCCCCUAAGAUCCCAAAAUUGUUUCAACAAUAUGAUAGGAAGACAAUUAAGAUUCAUCCUUAAAUGGAACCUAGAAUUGCAAAUUACUCACAGAGUUCUUCACUGGCUCCAAUUUGAUCUCUUUUCUGCGCUUUGCUUCUGGAGUUGGCUGCAUUUAUCAUACAAAUGCAAAGAAGAAAAUGAAAAGCUCAACAAGUCAAACAUGAGAAAAUGCAAAUGAAGAAGGGAAGGAGCCUGUAAUCACAGAAAUUAUGCUAUUUGACUUGGGUUUCUUCUGCUCAUCUUCUUUUUUCCUUUUCCGGCUUUUCUCUUCUUUGCUCCUGACUGAAUCCAAAUUUAUUUCCUUCGACUUUUUUGUCAUUAACUUGGUAUUUAGCUUUUCCAAAUUUGAUUUUACCUGAUACACAAAAUUGCAGAUGCACAUGAAUUAAAACAUAUAGAUAAUGAUCCAAUCAAACAGGCCCAUUAAGAGGCUCAGACCAUAAAAAGCUCAAGAAGCUACGGAGUAAAUAAAACAAAGCACAGAUUUCCAUUCUAAUGCAUUUCUUGAGGACUGCAUUACUUUGCUUUUCUUCAGAAGUGUCAGUAUGAAUUCCAAACAUUACUAUAAACCUUCAACAAUUUAGACUCCCUGAGCACUCACAGUUGGGUGGUGAUAUUGCAAUGAAGGAAGAAUGUGUUCAUUUUCCCCUUGAUUUUACCAGACGAAAAAGAAGACAAGACAAACUUACAGAUGAAAGGGAUUUGAUAUUCUCGCCUUUGUCAAUUUUAGUUUGCUUUUCCAUUUUAUUUUGAGAUGCCUCAGCCACAACUGUUCCUGCUCAAACAACCAUGCAACUGUGAAAAGUAAGAUAAAUAACUGAGUACUUUGAAUUAUGACUAACACUUUCAAUAACUACCAUCUUGUGAGUUUCUUAAGUGCAACUUUUUAAUACCUCAUAAACCUAUUACCUUCACAAAUAACAUAAGCAUCAGUAUUAACGAGAUUGGGGCGCAGAGACGAGCAAAAAGCUUCAAAUGUUUCUUCCUUCAUAAUGAUUAAUCACAAAUUAAGUAAAGAAAAGACAGCAAAUCAGAAAGAGAAUAAGAGAAGUCAAGCUGUGUCAAAAACUUUUUGAUGCCCCAAAGUAGGAAGUGCGUAACAUAAAAUUCAACAAAGUUUGGUCAUGUAGUUAAGAAAAGAGAGAGAGACUAGAAAGAGGGUAAGAGAACUGGUAAGCUAAGUCAAAAUCCUUGUGACAUACCAAAAGGCUAGUACGCCCCAUAAAAUGGAACGAACAAAAAUGAAAACUUCAAUAAACAUUAUUUUGAUAGAAAACUAGAAGGAAGCUACCUCUCUCUUGAAUUAAAUAGUUUCUCAUAUUACUCAUGUAAAAAAGCAAAAAAACAAAAAAAAAAAGGGAGCAUAAAAUGGUAUACAAAAUCAAAAGAUGGGCUAACCUUUUGUUUUUUGCUUACAUGAACCUGAUUUGGAGCGCUGGAGUUCCUACAGUUCAAAUCCAUUAUUGGUAAGAUACAUUCAAAAGGAUCAUUUAAUUUUCUGGCCUAUAAUGAAGCAUAAAGCACCUAUGCAUUGCCUUCUGCAUAUGAAUUUGACAAGAAAGAAUUACCUGCUUCAUAGCUUCACUCAGAAUAGCACACUAUGACAACUCGUGUAUCCCUUGCAUCUUAUCAUUGAAAGGUAUAGACAACAUAACUGUUCAGAACACUGUUAAAGGGUGCAUGGACAAAUUUAAAUGCUCAAACUCCAAGCCAAGUUGAAUAGGAUCUUACAAAAAGAUGCAGGAAGAGGAAACUGCUGCCACAACUUCAAAAUUAACAAAUUAGUGCAGAGACCAAACAACCAAGCAGCAAAGGGCCAGUUCCAACUUGUAGUGUCCUUACAGUGGAAUGAGAUCUCCACCUGUUUUUCUCCACUUCCCUUUACAUCUUCCACUUACAGUGCCUUCAUCAACCUACCAUCAAAUGAAGUAAAAAUAUGACUCACUUUUGUUCUUUGCAAGAUACAGAAUGUACUAAUUUCACUGGCAGUAACAUUUAUUUGUGAAAUGCAGGAGAACUAAGGUUUUUUUGUAAUAAGAAUAUGGAGCUGAACCAACAAAAUCGCCAGAAUGAUAACUCUUGCGAGAUUUGAAAAACAGUAGUCGCUCUCUCAUCUAUUUUUCCAACAGAAAAUCUGUUACUUGCCCUUAGUUUAUCUUAGCGUCUGCAACUGAAUGAUCAAUUUUGCAUUCAUGCACAUUGCUAUAUGGAGUUGCACGUUAUCAGAUCAACAAUAGACAUCACACUGCAAGAAAAUUUACUGACAUCUAGGUUUUUCAAGUAUUUGAUCGUACUUAAAGCAAUUCAAGCUGUACAGAGCAAUAAUAGGUCAUACUAGAUAUCAACAGACUGCAUUAUGCAAUAUAAGGAAACUGAAUGUAUCUUAUAUCUUCCCUUUCAAUAUACAAAAGCGGCUAAUCAUUAUCAUCCAUAUAUCUACAUUAAAUAGCAUUUAAGAGUGCAUUAUUUUGAAACACAAAUGCAUUGAAAAAUAUACCCCUACCGUCAAUCACAUCCACAUGACAGAAUGGCUGCCCAUGCAACACUAUAGCUUCAAGCAUUUCAACCACUCACAUCCUCAAAGAACCGCUGCAUAAAGUAAAGAUCUUUGUUGCACAUGCUCAGUGCAGGUCUUCAGGAUGAGAAUGCCUAAUGGUUCUAGGUAUCAAGUUCUACAAUUUCCUCAAAUCUAGGAUAUUGAGAUGCCAAGACUAUCAGAGAUGUCUAGAGGUAAAGGCAAUUUUCAAACUCCGAAGCAUGAAAACUUUACUCUACAUUAGGUACAUCCAGUUGUUGGAACUAGCAUGAAAUGGACAGAUAUCAAUAUCAAGGUCUGCUGGAAAGCUGCAAAUUCUCAACAAUUAAAACAAAAAAAGGCAAAAAAGACAUUGUCAUGUUAGAGCAGUUGAAUGCCCCUGCAUAACUACGAACAUAUACCAAUGGUCCAGCAUUGCACUUCAGUAACAAUCAAAGAUCAAAAAUCUAGUAGGACCACAAAUUGUAGCUAAAUUAUUACAAGGCAAUAAAAUCAUUUCCGCUGCAGCUCAAGGGUUAAUACUUUUAGUUAACAACAUCAGCUGUGAAUUGUCAGAAAUUGAAAGUCAGCAGUUAAUUUAACACAGGAGAUGCUCCAAUUAACAGCACUGAGAGACCACAUUUUAGCCCAGAGCGUUCAUAUCGACACAAUCGCAAAAAAUAGGGGAUUAAACCCAGUGGUAACCAAGCAGUAUUGGCUUUCAUCGAUCUUAAAUUAAUCAAACUACAACCAAAAUCAAAAGAAAUGAACCAAGAAACAAGAAAAACAUUCAAGAAAUCCUCCUGCCCCUUCUAAUUUCCCCAGUCCCCAAGUCCCAUUUCCAAAUAAUAACUAUGAAUAUUGGAAAGAAAAAGGAUAAAUUAACUUACGUGUAGAAGUGAAAAGAGUCCAGAAAAACUUCAGAUGUUAGCUGUCAAAAAACUCAAAACUCUUUCCGUAUAAUCUGCACUUCUUGUUGGAGAGUGGAGACAAUGGGGAGUGAAACAAAUGUGGCCAAUUUACAACAGCACUUGCGCAGAAAUGAGAGUUCCCAGACCUUGGACGACUUUUUCCCUUCAAUGUCUCCCAGGUCCUAAUAACGAAACCAAAGCCAAAAGGAAAACAAGAAGGGAUAAAGAGUUAAUUACAAAGUACCCCCUCAAAAAACCACAUGCCUUGCCUUGCUUGUUAUUCACAUGGAUGAUGGAACAAAUCAAUUCUCUCAGCUUUUUAUGGUUUCCCAUUGCCGAGCGCUCCUAAAUUGCCUUCCAGUAUGAUGAUUUUGUAACGGGAGAUGCAUGUAUAUUUAUUAUUGUGAUGAAACGACAGCUUUUUUUUUCGGGUCUAAAUGGGUAUCCAAAAUUACCCAGACUAAUCCCUUAGUUGGGCAGAGUUUCGCCCCAAAUAUGCCCAGCAACAAUAGCACAUGGGGAUCGAAUCUGAGACCUUACUGUAAUUAUAAAUGAUCAAUCCCAACCGAGCUACCCACGGGAGCACGAUAAAACGAGCUUGUCAUAAAAUUCAUUAUUUGUGACCUAGAGUUGGAAAAUGUACACUUGAAAAUUAUUAUUAAGUCUAUUAUUUGUUCUUUUUCAACUUCAUGUUUAAAAAUGGUGAACACAUAUUUGUGGGUAAAUGUUGAUUUCCUUUGCCGAAGAAUCUCCAAUUUUAUUGUUCUAUGCAAGAUGUACAUGUAACGUAAUAAAGUUGUAACUAGGGCUGUGCAUCGAAAUCGAAAUCGGUAAAUCGGAAGUUUGAAAUUGGAAUUUUUUGAAAUUUUGACAUGAAUUUUUCCGACCGAAUUCGAUUUCGAAAUGGCCAAUUCCGAUUUCGAAUUCGAUACCCGAAUUUCGAAUUCACCGAAUUCAAACCUACUCUACUCUUAGUCUACUGCACUUCCUCCCUUCUCGGUCUAUUGCUAUUCUACUUCACUCUCACCGACCACUGCAAACUCCUGCCAGUCUAAGUCUACUCCGUUUUCUCCAACUUUCUCUACGCUACUUGUGAUUUAGUAAGUAGUACAAACUGCAAAGAGAAACGACCAAUGGAAGGAGGGUUGGAGCUGAGUAAAGUGACGCUGGAAAUCUUCUCCAAGCUCGAGCAACAGUGGUUGCAUCACUGCCAACCCCCCAAGAAGACUCACAUUCUCAGUAUCGACGGCGGCAGAGUCGGCUCCCCCUCUGCCAUCUUCGCCGCUCAUUCCUUGAUCCUUCUCGAAGACCAGAUCCAUGCCAAAUCCGCUGAUUCCCAAUCUCGCAUUGCCGAUUUCCUCAAUCUUAUCACCGACACUGGCAUUGGAGCUCUUUACGCUGCAAUGCUUGCCGCCGACGACGGUUAUGGACGUCCUUUGUUCACCGCCAGGGAUGCCGUCAACUUCAUCGCCCAAAACUAGUCCCGGCUCUUUAAAGUCAAGGGCACCCUCACCCUUUCAAGCUUGCUUUUGGUUACCGAUCCGAUCGCAAGUAAAUGAGAUACUCUAAAUAUACCAACCCUGUCCUCUGUUCUGGGUGUAGUCUAUCGCCCUUUCGGCCCACUGAGUAGGCCUUUUUCUUUCAAUACGACGGCCUCAGCUUAUUCUUUUAGACUCGUCCCACGAAGCGGUUUGGAACUCGUUUCGUAUGCGGUAUCACCUCUUUUAGUUGAUUGUCCCGGCGAACCUGAGUAUGCCUCCUUUCCGCCAGCCUAGGCUUCGGAAUUCUCGCCGACAAAGGUUCUCUGGCAGGAGCAUGGAUGUGGCGUGAAGAUGGAGGUGAAACUGAGAGUGAGAGAGAGUAAGUUGAGGAAGUAGGAAAUCACAGUGAGUCGGAGACGGAGGAAGGAAGGUGAGACAGUGAGUCAGGCGGUGGAGGCGGUAGAGAUGGAGGAAGGAAGGUGAGAGAUAGUCUUGAGAGACGAUGAGGAAGAGGUGGCGAAGAGUAACAAGAGUUAACAGAUUAGGUUUUUGCAAUUUCAAUUGUUAGAUGUAUCAGUAUUAUUGUUAUUAACUUAUUAUGUUAUAUAAUAUAUAUU